AAAAAAAAAAAAAAACCUGUAUGUUGCAUCCUAAAAUUGUGACAUUUCUUCACGAGUUCUGAUUUCUAUAAUUUUCAAACACAUUGUUCAAAGUUUUGACCCUUUACAAUUCAAAAUACUAACAUUUCCUCAACUUUUGUUUAGUUGUUUUCCAGAAAGAAAAUUAUUAACAUUUUCUUCCUUUGAAUUCCUCAUCUGCCUCCACUAUGUACAUUUCAACUCUCUUUUUUCUCUGGGGAUAUCCAAUGUUGUUCUGCUUCUAACUCUAUUUUUCCUGAGUUAAAUGAUGUUUGCAUGAAUUGGGUUGCUUGUCUUUUUGUCUAUAUCAUUCCUAGUCUUGACCUUAAUGAUGUUUGCAUGAAUUGGGUUGCUUUUCUUCUCUCUAUUGCUGUUACGAUGAUUCGUUUUAUUUGAUUGCAACUGAAGUAAUGUUUUAAAUAUAGAUUUUUUUUUAUAAAAAAAAAGGGUUUAAUCUGUACUUUUCUCACUCUUUCUUUCGUCUGAUUAUCAAGUGGUAGGUUGUUAACUUGUUUUUUUUCCAAAUUUUAAAUAUAUUGUUCACUGGUGAAGAUUCCCUUCAGGUUCACGCACGCUAAUUGUUUUAGUUCGCUGAAGAAACAUUUCUAAUCUGUUCUUUUUCUUCUUCUCUAAAUACAGGUCUUUAUGGUUUUCAUCAAACUUUAAGGCCUUUUAGCGGAUCGUAUCAAUUAAGAUUGAAGCGGGUGUUUCAUCCAAGUUCCAAGUUCCAACAAUGGUUCUUGGCCUAAGAACUAAGAACAGAAAAGGCUGCUUACAUCAGCUUGUUUACACUGUAAAUGUGAAGGAGAUUAAUCCUUGGACACCAUUGCAAUCACUGCGAUCGGCUCAAUCUGUUUUGCUACAAUGGGAAACUGGUGAUAAGAGUUCUGGAUCCAUAGCUUCUACCAUUGAUAAUGGAAAGAUUGCGUUCAAUGAAUCUUUCAAACUUCCAUUAACUUUACGUAAAGAAGCAUCUCGUAAGAGCACGAAUCAUUUGAGUUUCCACAAGAACUGUUUAGAGUUUUACUUGUAUGUCUCUCGGAAAGAAAAUGUGUCAAAAGCUCAACUUUUGGGAUCUGCUAUUGUAAAUCUUGCUGAUUAUGGAAUUAUCAAGGAAGCUAUAUCCAUUAGUGCUCCUUUUAACUUGAAGAAGAGUUCUAGGAACAUAGAGCAUCCAGUUCUUUAUCUUAAUAUCCAACCUUUUGAUAAAGAUAGCUCGAGCGCUUUGUCGAAAGAAGUGUCAUUAGACAAGGAUGGCAGUGAAUGUGUUUCUGAAUUCAUAAAUGAAGGAAAUGAUGAGGAAAUCGAGAUUGCUUCUUUUACUGAUGAUGAUGUUGAUGAUCUUUCCUCACGGUCAUCCCAUAUUACUUCUUCUUCUUCUUCUGUUUUCGAUCAUUCUAGAGAGUCACAUAUUCAACAUGAUAAGGUACUUAGGUUCAUCAUCCUCCUUUUGUUCUUCAUUUCCAUUUUCAUUGAAUUGUCUGUUAACUGUUGUCUUUGAAUUGGGUUAUAAGAUUGGAUUGGAUUUAUGAAUUUGGCUUGGAGGACUUUGAUCCUUGGGCAUUACCAUAAGUACUGCUUUUUGAGGACUUAACACCGUCCUACUUAGACACUCAUGUAUGCUACUCUUAGUAGUGUUAAUUGAAAUUGCAUAUAUUUUGCACAUGCAAUUUUCUGUAUAGUUACAAUUUGUUUAGUUAAUAUGGGGAAUGGGAUUUCAUCUUGGGACCUUUUCUUAAGUUAAGGGGUAGCUGGUUAUUUUAGGCUAUGGCUUGGCUUGAAAAUCACUAGGAGCAGUAAGAUGAGCCAAAAUUAUAUUAUAGUGAUUAAUUUGUAGAUAUGAUCCCUGUUUAACCAUUACGCAAACAUAGCUAUUAGUUUUGGGAACACAUCAGAUGGUUGUUUCUUAUCAUCUGCUACCACCAUGAUUCUAUUCUGAGGUCUGUCGUAGUUCUGGUUAAUUUGGUGGCUGCCAAUGUCAUCUUAACAAAGCUAGAAUUUCUGAAUGUUUAAUAGCAUGUCACUAUUGAUUACAGAAUAAAUCAGAAUCAGCCACUGGUGGGUUUGAAAGGCUUGGACUCACGCUUCCUUCUGCUGGAACACAUGUAAACUCGGGGGUAAGUCCAAUUGUUGAAGUAUUCAAACAAGUGAAUGGCAAUACUUCUCCUUCAUCUUCAGUGGACUUGUGCUCCAACUCUAUGAAUCCUGUAACUAAUCCUAUGGCUAUAGUUGCAUCCCUGGAGCAUGGUGCUACUACCAUUCCAGUGGAGACCAACUUAGACCGUGUAAAAGAUGAAGAUUUGUCCUACAACCCCAAGAAUCUUGUAACUUAUCCCAAGGCUGAUGUAGCAUCCUCAGAGACAAGUGUUACCAUUCCGGUAAAUACGAAUUUAGAAUAUGUAAAAGGUAAAGGUUUAUCCAACAACCCCAAGAAUCCUGUAAGUUAUCCCAUGGCUAAAGUUGAAUCCGCAGAGACGAGUGUUACAACUCCAGUAGAUACGAAUUUAGACCAUGUAACAGAUAACGGUUUGCCCAAUAGCCCCAAGAAUCCUGUAACUUCUCCUAUGGCUAAAGUUACAUCCACAGAGACGAGCAUUACCAUUCCAGUAGAUAUGAACUUUGACCAUGUAGAAGAUUCCCAUGCCAAAAGAGAGGGUGAUAGGAAAGCAUUGAGGCAUGACCGAAGUCAUGUAGACAGAUCUUUAAGUCGCAUUUCACAUGUUGGUCAGCGGAAGGAAAAUGAGGAAAAGACACUGUGGGAAGAUGAGCUGGAUAGCCAGAUUUUAAAUGCCAAGGAAUACUCUCCGCGGGACAUGUUAAGUUUUAUACAGACUCAAGAUUCUACAAAAAAUAAAAUCACUUGGAGGAGUAACACUUUUGCGUCCAGCUGUGAAACAACUGAAGUCAAAGGUGGCUUCAUUGCAAACGAUGGACAGAAGCAUGUGGCACCUGUUCAAUUGCAUUUUGACAACAAUGGCCUGUCAAAGAAGAUCCAGUUUAUGGAGAAGGAAAAGGAACAUGAUAUUUCCGAGGAGAUCUCUAAUGGUAACUCAAGUGAUAUGCUUAGUGAAAGGGAAGAAACUGUGAACAACUUUUCUAACAGUAAAUUUAACUCAGGUAACAGUUAUGGGCCACUAAAGAAUACUAAGUUCAUGGAGAAGGCAAAGGAAUCUGAUAUUCCUGAAGAGAUUCAUAAUGGUUCUACAAAGGAUACAUGUAAUGAAAGCGAAGAAGAUUCAAAUAGCUUUUCCAACAGCAAAGUUGAACUGGAGUCCAAAAUUGAAAUGCUUGAACAAGAAUUGAGAGAAGCUGCUGUUGUUGAGGCUAGUCUUUAUUCUGUUAUUGCAGAGCAUGGGGGUUCUAUAAACAAGGUUCAUGCUCCAGCUAGACGACUUUCUAGAUUCUAUAUCCAUGCUUGUAGAACAAGUAACCCAGAUAAGAGGGCAAAUGCUGCUAGGGCUGCUGUUUCAGGAUUGGUUUUGGUCUCUAAAGCUUGUGGAAAUGAUGUUCCAAGGUGUGUUCUUACACUUCCUGUAAUUUUUUUCCCUUUUUCCCUUUUAGAAAAUGAAACUGGAAGAUUUUAGAUUCUACCUUCUCUACCACCAAAGAUGUUAGUUUGGUUUGCAUGUUGAUCAUUCCUAUCCCAUUAUUCAUAGGUUAACCUUCUGGUUGUCAAAUUCAAUUGUACUGAGAGCAAUUGUGAGCAAUGCUAUUGGGGGAAUUCAGCUAUAUUCUGGACCAUGCUUAAAUAGUAGUAGCGAGGGAAUGGUGUUGGAGGACAACUCCUAUCUGCAAGAGGAAUGCAAUUCAACAGAAAGUUUUGAAGAGUGGGUGGACCCUCGGACGUUUCUACUCGCAUUGGAGAAGUUUGAAACUUGGAUCUUCUCCAGAAUAAUUGAGUCAGUCUGGUGGCAGGUCAAUCCUUUCUUUUAAAAGCUUAGUGCAUAUCGUCUUCUCAGUUCAUAUCUAAUGCUAUUUCUUCCUAUAUACUUGCCAGACUUUGACUCCACAUAUGCAGUCGGCUGCUGCAAAGAGCUCAAGCUCAAGGAAAACAUCAACCAAAAGUUAUGAAUUAGGUGAUGAAGAGCAGGGGAAUUUUUCAGUCAAGCUUUGGGAGAAGGCUUUUAAAGAUGCCUGCGAGAGGCUUUGUCCCAUUCGAGCAUGUGGACAUGAGUGUGGUUGCUUAUCCAUGCUGGCUAAAUUGGUAUUAUGAUACAUUUUAAAUUAUUCUUAUUUUAUGCAUAAAGAACUUGGCCUUGAAGUCUAACCGUGUUUAUGUUCAUUAUGUCUCUUUGUGAUAUGAUGUGGCCAUGUCGUUGUUUCUAUCAUAUUAAUUUUCAUAUUGUUAAUGUUGUCGACAUGCAAAUUUGAGAUUAGGUCAUGGAGCAAUUGGUGGGUAGAUUGGAUGUUGCAAUGUUCAAUGCUAUUCUUCGUGAAUCAGUGGACGAAAUGCCAACAGAUCCUGUUUCUGAUCCGAUAUGUGAUUCGAAGGUUCUUCCCAUUCCUGCAGGAAAAUCAAGCUUUGGGGCUGGUGUACAAUUAAAAAAUGCUGUGAGUAUUUGGUUGCUCUUUCUGUUGAGCUACUUUAGUACUUAAUUGCCUCUAUGAUUCGUAAGUUCUGAACCCGUUUCCAUAUAUUUAAAGAGAAAUCCACCCAACUUACAUUUUACUGAUGUUAAUAUUUUUAUAUGCACAUCAAAAGUACACAUUUUCAUAUAUUCGUUUAAUAACUCGUCUGCUGCUGGAGAUAGUUAACUGUAUCAGUACCUGCGAUUCCAGCCUAUUAAUAUGCUUUACCUUCUGCUUUAUUUUCUCUCUUUAACUUAACACAUGAUUUUAUUCGACAGUCGGAAAUUUCAUUCACUUCGAAGAAGUUAAAUGCUUGAACCUUGUGAUCUCUUGUCCCCCAAAUAUUUUAUUAAGAAUUAAUUUAAGCAUGCAAAAGCUUAUUAUGUGUUUAACAUUUGACUAAGAGGGAUCUUUUUUCUAUUGACCUUGUGUUGGCAGAUUGGAAACUGGUCAAGAUGGCUAACUGAUCUAUUCGGUAUUGACGAUAAUGACGGUCUCGAAGAUAGCAACGAAGUUGAUGAUGACAAAAAAGCAGGAUUUGAGGCUUCCUUCAAGGCCUUUGGUCUCCUCAAUGCAUUGAGUGAUCUCAUGAUGCUUCCAUCCGAUAUGCUUGUCAAUCGGUCCCUGAGGAAGGAGGUAUAGUUCGGAAUCAUGUAUAUAUGUAUCAACAUACAUAUUUAGUCUUGUAUAUACCUCAUUCUUCUAUUGCAUCUUUAUUCAUGUUGAAGGUAUGCCCCAAAUUCAGCCCACGAUUGAUCAUCAAGGUUCUUAACAAUUUUGUGCCUGAUGAAUUCAAUCCGAACCUAGUUUCAGAGGCAGUUUUUGAAUCAUUGGACGAGGUUUGUCAUGACAUAACCCCAAAAAGAAAAAGUUUCCUUAAAAUGAACUUUCCACUUCUUUUGUCAACCCGGAAUCUUCCAAGUUUAUGGUGCUGAAUUUUAGUUUUCCUGACUGAUCCGUGUUCUCGUAUUCAGAAUAUUUCUGAGGUUGGGGACAAAUCUAUUACAAACUUUCCAUGUAUGGCAGCUCCAACAGUGUAUUCACCACCUUCGGCAGCUUCCCUAACAGGCAUUGUCGGAGAGGUCGGAAGUCAAGCCUUGCGAAGAAGUAGAUCAGUGCUUAGAAAAUCAUACACUAGUGAUGAUGAGCUUGAUGAGUUGGAUUCACCCAUCACCUCGAUCAUUAUCGAGAACCGCAGCGACUCAACCCAUUCAAAAUCACUGAAUUGGAUGAGAAUGGGAAAGGGAGAGCGAAAAGUAAUUCGAUAUCAAUUAAUCCGAGAAAUAUGGAAAGAAGGCGAAUGGUAAAAUUUCUCAAGUUUUAACCCCCUCCCACUGUUCUUCACUGAACAUGGUUUUGUAUAUAAGUUCAUGACUUAUAGGCUGGUGUAUUAAGUUGUUGGAGCUUAACAGAAAUCGGUAUUUUCCAUCAGCUAUUCUUCUAGUUAUUAAGAGAUCAUAUCCUCUAUGUUAUGUUAUUUUGCAUGCCAACAAAAUCAAGCAUGUACCGUAAAGCUAACCUUAGACUUAAUUUUAUUUGCGCGUUUAGUUAAUUUUUUCUAAUUGAAUCAUUUUAAACCAUCUUUUUUAUUUUUUAAAAUUUGAAAUUUUAAUCUUAACUAAUAUAACAUUAUGUUGUUUGUUCCAGAACUUUAAGAGCUUUCUAGAAUUACCCCAGAUAAAAUUUGAGAAAGGAUGACUCAUCAUUUUUACUUAUCUGUAGAAUUGGUUAUUCUUCUUUAUUACCAAUUUAUGUAUAAAUCUACUACCUGUUAUAGAAAAAAGGAUUGGUUAAAUGACAUUUAAGUUUACUCCUCCAAUUUGCUGUAUUUUUUUAAACAUGAUACUUAUUUUCUAACUCAUUAUACAUAUAAUCAUACAUUUGCCCCUUAAAAAAAUGGUUUGCAAAUUUUAAAAAUAAUACCACUUAAUAAAUUUGAUAGUUAUUAUUAGAAAAAAAAACUCUUUUGGUUAGUGUAAUUGGAGAAGAAACCAAUUUCCCUUUGGUUGGUAUUAUAUAUGUAAGGUAUUUUUAGAAAAAUGUUAAAACAAGCUAGUUUUUAAUUACCUAAAAAAUGAAAAAAAAAAAAAAGCCAUCCAAUGAGCACCUUCCAAGCACUAACUUUCCCUUGACUCAAAUUAGACUUUUUUUUUUUUUUGAAUGGGAUAAAUUAUACUUCAAUUACUUUAGUUUUGUUUCUAAUUUUAAGUUAGUCACUAUCUUUUAUUUAAAUUAGAGAGGGAUUCAUCUAUAUCGGUUUAAAACUAUAUCUUUUUAUAUGUUUUUGUACAAUUAAUAUUUUAACAGUUCAAACAUUAUAUUUUAUAUUUCAUUCAUAUAUAUCAUAUAAGUCAAAUUUGAUAUAGAUUAAAAUUUUAUUACUAUUUUUUAUGAAAAAAUAUUUUCAACCAUUAAAUAAAUACUAAUAUAUACAAUUUGAUUGAUAUGAUACAAAUAUCGGAUUGGUUUGAAAAUCUACAUUCAUUCCAACUGAUAAGGACAAUUGUAUCGAUAAAUUCAAUGGUUAGAUCGUCAAAAUAUUAGUUGUACAAAGAAUAUUAGUCAAAUAAAGAAAUAUAAUUUUACACCAAUAUAAGUGAAUUCUUCUCCAUUGAAAUUUAUUCAGUUUAUUUUUUUCAUAAUUUAAAUAUUGAGUUGAUUUUAAAUAAAUUAUCUUUUUAUUAAAAAUAUUUAUGUAAUUGAUUUUUUUUUUUUGCAAUCAAUUCAAAUAACUUUUAAUAUUUCAAUAUUAAAAUUAGUCAAUAGUUAAUUGUUGAACUUAAAAUAAAUUUUAUAUUAGAGAAAAAUAUUAAUAAUAUUGAUUAAAUUAAAUUUAUAAAUAAUAAAAAACCUAUGAAAUAGUAAUUUCAAUUAGUCCUUAUUUAUGAGCUGUAAAUUGUGGAAUAUGUUAGUUUUUCAUCCCUACAUACUAAGAUCUUCAUAGUUUUUUACAAUAUUAACUUCCUUUUUCUUAUUAAACAAGCUAUCCUUUAAAUUUAUUAUAUAAAAUGAUUGAGAAUAUUUUUUAAAUACAAUUAAUCUGUGUACUUAAUUAAAAUAAAAAUGACUUUUCAAUAAUCAUGCACAAUCAUAUUGACAAGUUAAUAUACAUUAUAAUAUUGCAAUGUUUAAAUAUUAAAAAAAACUUAUGACAUUCUAAUUAAAAUAGGAAUUUUAACAACAUUUUGGAACAACUUUUGAAGGCUGAGAUUGAAGAUAUUAAAUAUUAGAAAUCAAGAGUUCUUUUUAUAAAUUCUAAUCUUUGACUCAUUUGUUCAUUUGGAAGAAUAUUAGUAAUUAAUUCUUCUUUAUUUUAAAAAUUACUUUUUAAUAUAUAUUUAUUAUAAUACAAAAUACCAUAAUUCCACAAAUAUUUAUAUUAAUUUAUUAUUUUUUCAAUAUUAAUAUUAUUGAAAUGUUACAAAAUUUAAUUGAUACAUUCAACCAAAUAAAAAAUUAAUAAUUAGAAUAUGAUUGAUCUAUGUUGGUCAAUAAAUCUAUUCAUAGAUCAAAUUAUCCAUUCAGAUCAAAAUAUUUGCCCAAAAUUUAAGAAGAUUUGGAAAAUAAUAUUAAGCCUAAAAAAUGAGGUCCAUUUAAAAUAUGAAAUAACCUUUAAACAUUCAAAACUCAACUCAUUUUAUAAUAUAAUGUUUUAUAUUAUGUUAUUUUAUAUAUUAAGUAAUUUAUAAUACAUAAAAAUUAAAUUUAUAAUAAAAUAUAAUACUAAAUAUUAAAUAUAUAUAAUUAUUAAAUAUUAAAAUAAGUAUAAUUAUUUAUUUUAAAAAUCAUAAGAUAUAUUUUUAAAAAUAACAAAACAAACUUAAAAUAAACUUAAAUUAAUUAUUUACAAAUAUAAACAAAAUUAUAAAAAUUUUAAAUCUAUAUUUUAAACCCACUAAAUUUGGGUAAACAUAAACUAAAUUCAUAUCAUUUUUAGGUCAACUAAAACCUAAUUCAUUCUAUAAGCACCUCUAUUUUCUAGAUUUAAGAAAAAAAAACUCAAAACAAGUUUUGAUUGAGAAAAAUCAUUCUAAAAUUUCAACUCAACUAAUUAACAUAACAUAUUUAAUAUAUUUAAAAUUCAACUUAAAAUAUUUACAACCUAAUUUAAUUAUUAAAACCCAACUUCUGUUUCAAAUUUUCAAAAAGGUACAAACGCAACUUUUUUAUUCAAAUAACUCAAAUAAUUUAAUUAAGUAUUAAAAUGACCUAUUUUUUUAAUUAAACACGAAAAUGACCCUAAAUCUACAGUAAAAGUUAGUGGAGCCAAAUUAUAUGGCGCCAUCAACUUGCCACAUCAGCAGGGAGUAUAAAAAAAUUAAUUUUUUGGUGGUGCCAUGUUGAAUGGCGCCACCUUUAUAAAUACUAGAGAAAUACUACAAUUUCUAAAAAAAUAGGAGACUUCAAAACAAUUUUUCAUUUUCUGGUGGAGCCAAUUUAAAUGGCGACACCAAACCUGACUCCUGAUUCUGAUUUUUUUUACUUUUUUUUUAAACUUUUGUCUUUUUUAAUUUUUUUUCUUUUUUAAGUUUUAUAUUUUUUCUUAUUUUAUUUUGUUUAUUUUGUUUAUUUAUUUUUUAUUAUUAAUUUUAAAAAAAUUGAAAUGUAUAUUUGAAAUGUUUUAUAAUAUAUAUUUUUUAAAAUUUUAAAUAUAUAUUUUUGAAAUUAAUUUUUUUAAAUUUUAAAUAUUAUUUUUUAAAAAUUAAAUAUAUUUUUUAAUAAUAUGAAACAUUUAAACAUUUAAAAGAUAUGAUCUUUCAAAUUUAUUAUUUGUUUUUAUUUUUUAAUAAUAUAAAAUUUUUAAACAUUUAAAAUUUUUAAAUAAAAUUUUUAAUAAAAAAUUUUAAAAUGGUUAAAUUUCUUUAAAAAUAAUUAAAAAAUAAUAAUAUAAAAAAUUUUCUAUGUAAAAAUUGAUAUUUUUAAAGAUAUUUAAACCUUUUUAAAAUUUUUUAUAAAAAUUUUAUUUAAAAGUUUUAAUGUUUAAAUAUUAUUAAAAAAUAAUAUUUAAAAUUUAAAAAAUAAUAUUUAAAAUUUAGAGAAAAUAAUUUCAAAAAUAUAUAUUUAAAAUUUUAAAAAUAAUUUAAAAAUAAUAUUUAAAAUUUUAAAAAAUAUAUAUUAUAAAACAUUUCAAAUUUUUUAAAAUUAAUAACAAAAAAUAAAUAAAAUAAAUGAACAAAAUAAAAUAAAAUAUAAAACUUUAAAAAAUGAAAAAAAAUUAAAGAAAAAGACAAAAAGUUAAAAAGAAGUUAAAAAAAAGUAAAAAAAAAAUAGAAUCAGCGAGUUAGGUCUAGUCGAGCCAUUUAAAUUGGCUCCACCAAAAAAUGAAAAAUUGUUUUGAAAUCAUUUAUUUUUCUAAAAAUUAUAAUAUUUUCCUAAUAUUUAUACAGGUGGCGUCAUUCUAUAUGGCUCCACAAAAAAAUUAAUUUUUUAUGCUUCCUGCUGACGUGGCAAGUUGGUGGCGCCAUAUAAUUUGACUCCACCAACUUUUACGGUAGAUUUAGAGUUAUUUUCAUAUUUAAUUAACAAAAAAAUCAUUUUGAUACUUAAUUAAAUUAUUUAGGUUAUUUAAAUAAAAAAAACAUUACAAAUGCUCAAGGAUAAACAAGCAUCCUUCAAUACAAUCAAUGUUAACUAUGAAUCAUUUGUACUUGUAUAUUGCUAUUCUUUAAUAUUCAUCAUCUAAAAAUAUAACACUAUAUCAAAACAUAUAAACACAAACACAGUCAUUUAACAUAUUAAUUUAAAUACCUUGAAUUUUGACUUGCAAGUAAUAUUAUGAGGAAAAUAUAUUUAUAGAUUUUGAAGUAAAUUUUGAGAUAAAAAAAUGUAGCGACUUGUUCGAGGCCACGAUCAAAACGAAAAUGAAGUUAAUGGGCACGGAGAAUCGCUCAAUGAUAUUGCCAACCUUCAAUGCAAAUCACGCCAUCAAUAAUUAAUUGACGCCUUUGCUCUGCAAAUUGGCUCUCUUUAAAUAAGAAGCAAAAGAAAAAUAAAAAAAAAUCUUUAGAAUAGGCGGAGAAGAGGAGCAGCUGUGGGAUGGCAGAUAUAGAGAUUUUGGAAGAAAGGUCGUUUAUAUAGAAGGUGGUGAAGAACCAAAACCCUAAGUCUAGAUUGAAUUAUUACUGUAAAAUGGCCAAAAACACCCUUCUUUUUAUAGCUUUUUGCGCUUUUGUGGGAGCAAGGCCUGGACGAGUUUGUUCUGGGCUCAAUUUUCAUGUUUAUAUUAGGCUUAAUUCAUUGUUCCGCUCUUAAAGCGUAUAUAUUUUCUAAUUUUGGUGUUUAAAUUGUAUUUAAAGUAUCAAUUUUCUAUAUUUUUGGUCUAUUUUGUAACCGUCAUUUUAAAAUUUUGUUAGACAAUUUUGACCAAUGAAAAGGUGCCACAUGGCAUGUUUUGGCCAAUGAAAAAAUGCAUCGUGGUAAUUAAUUUUAUGUAAAAUAAAAACAUUUAAUUUAAAUUUUGAACGUCACAACGUUAUCAAUAUAGUGAGUGACAUCAAGACGAGCUAGGGCUUGUCGCUGGAUGUGACAUAUUGUGAUGGUCAUGUCAUGACAAAAACUAUCUGAAAUCGCAACGUCAAUCCAUAUAUUUUAAAUUUUUUAUAAUUUGAUCUUAUUUUAUACUUGGGUUGAUCAAAAAGCUCUCAUAACCUCGAUUAAAGCUCCAAAUUGUCUGUUUAAGCUAGAAUGAAUGGGGUUAACAGUGAAUAGCACGUGUAAAUGUUUGUUUUAAUGUGAACUUGACAGUAGCUCAGAUCUAAUGAUCGGGUCGAGCGAAAGGUGUUACAAUGAGUCUUAAUUUUUUAUGUCUGAAGAUGCAUUUAGCUUUAGGGUGUAUUUUUUUAUCUAACUUAUAUAUUAAAUGAUAAAAUGAAUAUCAUAAAAAAGAAUUAUCAUUUCAAUUUGGUUUUUAAAUUUUAAUGGGUAUUGGGUUUUAAAGUUUCAAUGGGUUUUGACUUUUAAAAGUAUUGAGUAAUGUCUAUUUGACUUUAAGGUUUACGGUUUAUAAUUUAGGGUAAUGUGUAUUUGAGUAAUUACCAUUUACAUACUCAAUCCCUGAGGCAAGGAUCAGUCUGAUCUUAUGAAGAGAACCCUAUAAUUAAGAAAUGUUCUUAAUAGCAAGUGGGUUUCUCGGGUCCUAAAGAUAUUUAGCUUUAAGAGUUUGAACCCAAAGACUGAUAUAUUCAUACAUUAAUCCCCAACCCAAUUUAAGUGGGAGGGUUUGAUUUUUCUUUUGGGUGAGGGGAUACGUAAUUUAAUUUUGGUCUAUGUGCUAUACUCGAAUUUAAUAUCUAAUCUUUAUACUUCAAUUUUUUUAUAUAAAUUGUUACUUCAAUUUUUACAAUAUCAUUUAUUAGCCUAAAUACUUUAUUUGAUUAAAAUGUUUAUAUACUUUUAAGAGUUGUAAACAAUGUUAAAAUCAUUUGUUAAAAUUAAGACCAUUGUAGUGCUUUUUUCUAUUACAUUGGUAGCAAAUUGAUACAUGCACGGAUGGGGUGAAAUUUAUUAAAUUCCAUUCACCGGAGCUGCCAAUUUUCAAGUUUGGAAAAUCAAUAGACUUAAGGCGACUUUUUGGAUGGGAUCCUGACAUUUCUAGGUUGAGAUGUCUUAUGAUGUUCAAAGAUCUAUUUCUUAGCUUCGAAACGCAUUUUGAAUUACUCGAUUUUGAAUUUGGGAGCUCAAGUUAUGACCAUUUUAGUAAAGACUAUGCAAGUAGAAUUUCUAGAUAGGAUUAUGACAGGAAUUACGAGUUUCGGGCUUUUAAUUUGAGUUUAAAUCAUAUUGGGUUUGAUUUUUAGGCUUAUUUCAAAUUUUUAAUAACUAUUAAGUAGUUUAAGUUAAUUAGGAGUUUUAUGUCAACAAAAAAACUUAGUUUAAAACUACUUCUUAUUUAGAUUAAUUAGAGUUUUAGUAUACUUAAAAGUUUUAUUUAGAUUUAUUUAGCUAGCCUUUAUAUAGACAUUUGCAUUGUACAUAAAAGAAGACAAAUUUGUUUCUUGUGCAAGAUUUUUUUCUUGUGAUUUUUAAAAGUAGUUUUAUUCUCAAUUUUCUUCAAAGAAUCGUAAGAAUUUAUUCUUUACGUUUCAAUUUGACAAGGAUUAUUUCUUAGAGGAUUGAUUAGAGUCAUUAAUUGAGUUUGUUGAUAUUUAUAUCUUAAAGGGUUCAAUUGAAUAUUUAUCUUUCUAUCCUUCAUAACUAUUGGUUUAUUCAAUUCAUGUUUCACUUUUAAAUUUUGUCUAUUUAUUUAUUUAUAUAUUAUUAUUUGUUAUUUAUUCUCAAAUUUCUUCUUUUACUGUUUUAUUAUUUAUUAUUAUUAUUUUUUUAAGAUCAGAUCCAAAUCUUUCCUUUUCGAGUUGAAUAAUUUAAAUUUGAUCCGCUACCACCUUCAAUCCAUAUCACAAAUGAGUAUUUUUAUUUAAAUUUUAAAAUAUUACACUAAUGAAUUUAACAAAAAAAUAAUAGUGUUAAUAAUUGAAUUUAAAUUUUAAAUUUGAAAAUUACAAAAAUUAAAUUCUUAAAAGCAAAAACAUAAAAAUUAAAUUUCAAAUGUACAAACAUAGACAUAGAGUAUAUUUUAAACUUCAAAUAUUUACAGAAACAUUAUUUAAAUAUUGUGUUUUUAGAUUAAAUUUUAGUGUAUAUUGUAAAUAAUGUUUGAAUAUUAAAAUGUACUCAAAUUAUUCAAAUAAAGAAAGGGCCCACUGGCCCAGUUUGUACAGAUUUUGUCCUUUUUGGACGUUUUCGCUUUUAAAAAACAAACAAACUUAAAUUAGAACCAAAACAAAACAAACCCAUGUCGAAAAUCGAAAUGGCAGAUUUCGUAAAAUUUUACAUAGAAAAAUAGUACGCCCACCGUGGGGCUCGAACCCACGACCACAAGGUUAAGAGCCUUGCGCUCUACCGACUGAGCUAGACGGGCAAGUUGAAAGUUUAGCAAACUAAUUUUAAAUAGCUUUUACUUUGACUAAUUACAUUCUCGCAACAAUAUGUAGGAUUCUAUAAUUGAGAUAUGAACCCAUGUUUGUGGAAAGAAAAUAUUUUGGAAGUUAAAACUUGAAGAGUAUUUCAUAGCAAACAACUGUUGUAAAAAAAAUGAAAAAUAUCAAAUUUUAUAUAACAUAAAUUAUUAGCUUAUAAAAAAAAAUAUAUAAACAUAAAAUAUCUUAAAUAAAAUUAUAAUACAAAAAAAUUACACAAAUAUGAAUUGAGUACACGAUUUUCUGGAUCUACUGUAUAUAUACGCGUUUGUGCACUAAAGCCUAAGUGAAAGUACAUUUUCCAAUGCUCGGUUUUGAACAUACAUUGUGAUUGAAUGAGUGGCUAAAUUUAAAGCAAUUGUGUUUCCCAAAUUUCCUAGCUAUUAUGACAAAAUAGUAUCUAAAGAAAGUGGAGCACUGGGACGAUCAUGGCCUGUGCUUCUUCAUUGUUGAUAAUAUCACAACACAAUUCCCUAUUUACUUCCAUCUGCUCCUUUUGAAAACACUGGAUUUCCACAGUUUUGGAAAUAAUCCUGCUUUGGUUCAUCAUCUAAGCUUUGAAUAAAUAUAAUUUGCUUCAAUCAAAUUUUCUGGUUGGCCUUCUCAAUCCUUCUUUGUCGUUAAUUCUAUUACUGUGUUUUGAGCUCAAAUUUGUUUGGCUCCUACCAAGCAACUCAAAGAUUUUCUCUUAUUCCAUUAUCACAUCAUCUUUCAUGCAACAUUAAUCUACCAUUUCAAUUUAGUUUAUGAGUAUAUCGUUGGGUAUAGUUGUAAGUCAUAUUGUACUCUAAAAAAAUAUAAAUUUAAACUUGAAAAAUGACAUUAUUAAAAUGGACAAUCACUAAUCUCAAAUAUUGAAGAUCAAAAAUUUAUUUAUUCAAAGUCAAUUAAUAUUCACUUAAAACUUUCUUUUUGUUGAUACUAAAUAACCAAAAAUUAAAUAUAACAAUUUUUUUAUAUGACUUGAUUCCAUGAUAUCCAUAUAACAAAUAAUUAAAAUAUAACAUAUAUUAAUGCACUAAUACAUAAAAAUUUACAAAAUUUUAAUAAUUUAAAAAACCCUCAAUUUUUAUUAAAUCAAUUAAACUUUUUUUUACACCCAGUUGACUUUCUAAAUUGAAAAAAAGGCAUUAAAUAAUUCUUUGACUGAUGAAAAUCAUCAUUGAUUGUUAAGUUGUAACAACUAUAAUUAGAAACUAUAUUUAUAUUGUAGUGUGAAAUAAAAAGUAAGCUAAAUACAUUGCACCGUAUCUAAUUAUCCAUCUAAACUCAUCCUAAAUGUGGCUAAUGACGAUUGAUUCAGUUGAUUAUGAUUAAGCCGCAUAUCAUGUAUAUAAAAUGCUAAGAAUAUAUAGAAGAUAUGGGAAUAUAAAAAAAUUAGAAAUAAAAAAGAGUAAAAGAUUAUAACAAUUAUUAAGUGGAUCUAGAUAAUAUAUGGAAAAUCAAUAAAAAUAAUAAAUCUAUACAACUAUCUUUUUUGUUUUUUUGGUAAACUACCUAAUUGGUUACCGAACUUUUAGGGUAUUCUCAUUUUGGUCACUCAAAAUGAAAUCUUUGUAAUUUCGUCACUCAAUUUUUAGGGUACUUUCAUUUUAGUCACCCAACCGUUAAAUCUAUAACAACAGUUAACUGUAUACGUCAUAUCAUGAUCACACUUUCAUUUUGGUCACCCAACUUCUAGGCUGCUUUUAUUUUGGUCACUAAAUAAUAUCCUUUUUUUUAAGUAUUGGUUGGGAUAAAAAAAUUUAACUAUUAAAGUGAAAAAGCGGUAGAACAUAAAAUAAUGCUUAUACUUGUUUACCCCCUUGGCAAAAGUUUACAUUUUUUUUUGAAUAUUGAAAUUUUAAAUUUUAAAACAUCAAAAUCAAUUAAAUAAGUUAUUGACGAUUUUUUAUCCCUUGAUAGUAUCAACCGAUUUGUUACAAUAAUAUUGAAAUGAUUAAAUUAAUUAAUUUAGCCUCCUUUUAAAUUUUAAAAUUUUAUUUUAUGUUUCCAAAUUAAAAUCAACUCAAAUAAAUUAUUUUUAAUGAUUGUACAUGAAAUUCAAUUUUUUAUUAUAUGAUCUCAAAUCUUUCCUUCUAAGCUAAAAAUAAAGAAAAAUCUUUACAAUUAAUUUAAUUAAUUAAUUUUAUCUUCCAUGCCAAACAAACUCCAAAAAAAAUUUCAUCACUUCUUUAUUGAAACGAAGAACAAACAAUUAAUUUAAUUAAUUGCAAUGAUUUUUCUUUACUUUUAACUUAGUAUGGAAGAUUUGACAUUAUAUAAUCAAGAGAAAUUUAAGUUUCACGGACAAUUAAUAAAUAUGAGCUAUCGAGUUGAUUUCAUUAAGAAUAAUAUGGAAACAUAAAAUAAAAGUUUUAAUUUUUGAAAGAGAUUAGUUUAAUUAAUUUCGAUAUCACAGUGACAAAUCGGUUAACAUUAUCAAGGGAUAAAUUUUUUUCAACAAUUUAUUUAAUUGGUUUUUAUCUUUUUGAAAUUUAAAAUUUCAAUGUUGAAAAGAAAAGAAAUUUAGAAUUUUUGGCAAUGAGAUAAACAAGUACAAUUUAACAAAUUUUUAAUAUAUUAUUUUAGUUUCUACUGCCUUUUCACUUUAAUCCUCAAUUUCUUUACCCCAAUCAAAUACUUAAAAAAAAAUUUUUUUGGGUAACCAAAAUGAAAGCUACCUAAAAGUUGGAUGACCAAAAUGCAAGUGUGGAUAUGGUGUGGUGUGUCACAGGCCGCAGUUCAAAGCCCGUGACCAUCGCACCAAAUGCAUCCGAUGGAGGUCCAUUGUGUAGAUGGGGAUCAUUUGGCCCGCAAGAACUGGCCCGAUUCGGUAACCUGCUGGAGAAGCCUAUCAGAUUGAAGCCUGUUUGGCCCGAUAAUGAAGAUAUGGCAACUUAGGCUAUUUUGGUAACUAAUCUUAGAAGAUUGAUAGAAUCAUAUAUUGUAAAGAUUAGAUGAGAUUUGAUAUGGCAUAUCUUGUAAAUCCCAUGUGUACAGGCCCAAAUUUGCCCGGCCCAGACCCAACUGGCCCAAAUCAAAUACAAAACCAAACCAAACCCUCAAUAGGCCCAAAAUUAAACCCUAGCCCACUACAAAGCCUAAAUCAGAAACAAAACAAAAAAAAACCCUAGCAGCUUGGCGUCGCAACCUCUAGCCUCCGUAUGCUCCCACGCACGACCUUCUUACGCCCUAGCGCCGCUCGUGCCUCCACGUCCUCCUCCGUACCUGCAUGAAGACAAAAACAGCACAGCAAAACAGCAGCAAAGAGAAAAACGAUAGCAAAGAAAUUCUUUGUAUUUUUCUUUUUAUUUUCGGCUAUAAAGCCAUAAAGUUUUUCAUUGUAAAAGGAUACAAAAAAAAGACGCAAUAGAAGGCAAUCAAAUAAAAAAAAAAGAGAAAGGUGAUUUCAAAAUUUGUUCUUCUUUUCUUUCGGUUUUCUUUAUUAUUUAUUUUUCCGCUUUUUAAAUUUCUUUUUUUUUACAAAAUAUAAAUAAAAGAAGGAAGAAAGAAGGCUUACCCAAAACCGGGGUUGCGUCGCCGGAGUAUUCUUUCCUGUCAUCGGAGUCGAUGCAAUGAGAAGGCGGGGGGUCCUUACUCCUCCGUUUUCCUCAGUUUAAGGAGGCCUCACCAUCGAAUCGCCCUUUAAAAGGGUAAAAAAACCCGAUUCCAUUAGGCUUUGGACCACCGUCUACGGUGAAAGCCACGGCGGGUUCACGAUGGUUCGACAGCAGCAACGAAAGAGUUUUUCAAACCCUAGCAGAGCAAAAAAAGGGGAAACUUUGAGAUUUUUUUAAAAAGAAAUCAGCAGAAAUGAAGCUUUUUUUUAAAAAAAAAAUUUGCUUUAAAUAAAUGGAUCAAACGACAUCGUUUUCAGUCCAGCGUUUAAACGCUGAAACGGUGCCGUUUCACGGCCCUUGACCGGCUUCUGGACCCGACCCGCAGACAAGAUCCGCAUGCUUUUGCGGUGAGGGGUUAUUUUCACGGAUAGUCCCUUCUUGUUGCGCCGACAUUUGAUUGGGCCCAAUUCGAAUUCAUUUUAUUCUUAAUUUUUUUCGGAAUUUCGUGUGUCGUCUCAAAUUAGUCCGCGCUUAAGCGUUUAGUUUUGGAGUUGGGACCAUUUGCAUUUUUAAUCCUCGGCCAUUUGAGCGCAUUGCGCUUCGGUCCUUUCAAUGGUUUAUUCUAUUUGUUAAUUAGCUCUUUUAAUUUGCUUUUAUUUCAAUUAAGUUUUUUCUCAAUUUAAUUUGUAUAGUUCAUUAUUUUUUUUAUUCGUUUAGCAUUCAUCUUUUAUUUUUUUACAUACAUUUUAAAUUACUUUGAUAAUUUACUUUGGUUUAUUAUUAUUAUUUUUUAAAUUAUAAAACUAUUAUUUUAAAAUUACCUUGUAUAUCAUAUUGUUUUUAAAAUUUUGUAUAAUAUUUAAUUUAAAUUAAUCUUAUAUUAAUACAGAUAUGAUUUAUGACAAAAUUAGUUUUAUUUUAUAUACAUUAUUAGUUCCAUGUUAUUUUUCAUAUAUAAUUUCUUAAAUCUAUUUAUUUGUAUUUCGUUUCAAAUUUAUUAAGUAUUUUAUUCUUUAAAAAAAUAUGUUUCAUUAUUUCUCUUUUAUUUAAGAUUAUUCCAUGUAUAUAUUGUUUUAUUAUAUAUUGAUUUGUUAUUCUGUCAUGUAUAUUCUUUAUUCUUUAUUUUUAUUAUAUCUUCAUUAUAUAUUGUUUACAUUGAUUUUUAUUAUUGUAUGUAUAUCAUCACAUUUAAAUAGAUAUGUUUUGUUUAAAAUAUUUUCGUAUUUUACUUGCUCCAAAUUUCUUCUUUUACAAUAUUUAUUUAAAUCUUCAUUUACAUAUUCUUAGUUUUAUUUUAUAUAUGUAAAUCAUUUCAAACCCUAACAUGUAUAGUUCAUUUUUUAAAAUUUUUAUUAUUAGUGGUUUUUGAAUUGUUGCACAUUAUAUUGAAUCCUAUUUGUGACAGCCCUAAUGUGACCCUAGUCGGCAAGUGGUUUCGGGACCACAAAACCGAGUCAUAAAAAUAAUUAGCUGUCAUAUUUGAUGCUUAUUAUAUGUAUAUAUGCAUGUGUGAAAAUUUCAUAUUUGAAUUUUGUUAAUUGUAGGUGAAUUUUAGUAAAUAGGACUUAUGUGAGAAAAUUUAGAAAUGUGCUAGGCAAAUGUAAAGUGGCCUAUUAAUGCAUGUUAUAGAAAUGAUGGGUUUGCAUGUCAAAUUGCCCAAAAUUUGAGCUAGUGGCCGGCCAUGCUAUGGGUCAUAGCAUAUUUUAAGCAUGGUGUGUUAAUGUUUCAUGUUGGAAAGAAUAAAAUAAAAGAGUUAGAAAUAAAAUAAGGGGAUGAAGGGUGAAGAAAAGAAAAAAAAAGGUAUCACCUUGUUCUUCUUAGCCGUACAAGAAGAAGAAAAAGAGGGGGGGCAUUCGGCCUUUUGAAUGAAGAGAAGGUUAGUAAAUUUUGUUAAUCUUUCUUUUGAAAUCUUAGUUUGUUCAGGUUAAUCAUCAUGUUUUUCUUACCUAGCCAUACUAAAAUUUUGAAUUUAGAGGGUUGGAUGGAACUUUCGGUUAUGGUAUGUGUGAGAAGAACUUGAUUUUUUUCUUUCUUACCCUUAAGUUUUGAUGGAUAAAGAAACAAAAAGAUUGUUGAUGAAAGAAAUUAAUCUUGUUAAAACUUUAAACUAAUAACACCCAUGUGUGUGAUAGCCGAACAUAGACUUUGUUUAAAGUCUUGAUCAAAGGCCGGUUAAGUGUUUUGAAAUGGAUAUCUAAGGUGUUAAAUAAUAAAACUCUUGAUGACUUGGGUUAAAUAGCAUUCGGUCAUCUUAGGUUAAUAUUAAGGUAUGGAGCUUAUACUAGUGAUAGCCGAAUUAAAGAAUGCUUGAUGUCAUGAGUAAAUGUUGUUCAUGUUAUUUGGAUGAGAAAUGGUAGUUAGGUGAAGUAGAGUCUAGCAAAUGAGCACAUAUGUGCAUUAGUUGCUAAAUGGAGAAAAAUCGGCUAACAAGUGUGUACUAAGGCCGAAUAUGACUUGGAAUAUUAUUGAGUGAUGUAUGUGUUUUGAAUUGAUGGAAUGGAGAGGAUGCUUUAAUUGUGUUAUGAACAAUUAUAUGUUAAACUAAGGUUUGCUAAGCUAGCUAUUAAGGUGAAGUGCAAAUGUUAGUAUUUGAUUACUAGUAUAUAUAUAUGUGUAUUCGCCGAGUUUUGAACUUGAAACAAAAUGGUAUUUAGUCAAUACAAGUAACCAUAUUUGUGGAAUGUAUUAAGUAAAUAAUCGGCCUCAACAUAGACAUGCAUAUUCGGCCACAUGAAUGAAUACAUAGAUUGAUGUUGUAUGUUCGGCUAUAGGUAAGCAUAUUGAUGGCCUUAUCUUGACUUAGAAAAUCGGCUAAAGGAGAAUAUUGGCUAAAAUGUUGAAUUUGAUUCAUGAUUUCAUACAUAUAUGACUCUAAUGCCUAAUAUAUAUGGGCUAAGUACCUUAAAUUCCUCCUUGAUGUUCAAAAUGAUUAAAUCAAUUUAUUUGUUAAAUUAAGAUCAAGAGCAAAGGGGGACUAAAUCCGAUAAAGGAAAGGAAAAGGUGAUCGAAUAGCCGUUGAAAUCGUUCGACAGCAUCCGAGGUAAGUUCUCGAGUAAUGGAACUUAGAUUAUGACUCGAUUAGAUCAUGUUAUAUAGCGAAUCAAAACCAUGCUUUUUGUAUGUGGCUAUUGAGCCGAAAAUGGUAAUGGUAGAUAAGUGCCUUGUGUUUGAGUUCUAGUAAUGAUAACGAAAUAAAAAUGUGUUAUGAUUUGUGGACAUAUGUGCAUGAUUAUUCAGAUGAUAAUCGGGCUAAGACCCGAAGGCAUUUGUGCGAGUUGCUAUAUCCGGGCUAAGACCCGAAGGCAUUUGUGCGAGUUGCUAUAUCCGGGCUAGGACCCGAAGGCAUUUGUGCGAGUUGUUAUAUCCGGCUAAAUCCCGAAGAUACUUGGGUUUGGAAGUGAGCGAUCUUGCUGUAAUAAUUUCAAUUAAUACGCUCAUAAAAUCCAAACGAUAAGAUAUGUUUCGUACAUGCAUCGGAAAAGUCGAUUCGUUUUAAAUAGUAUCCGUUAAAUUGAUCAACGAAUUUUCGGCCUUUAGAUAGGUUUGAUACCUUGUGUAUGAAUAUAUUGGUUGAAGUGUAAAGUAAGUAUGAUUAUGAAAAUGUGCAUAUAUGAAGUUAUUCAUUUAGCUAUAUGAAUGUCAUACCUUAGCCGAAACUAAUUUCAUUAUUCAAAACUUACUAAGCAUUAAAUGCUUAUUCCGUUUCUUUGAUUCUCUGUUUCAUAGAUUUUGGUUCGUCAGCUAUCGGACUCGGGAUUGUCAAAGUCGAAGUCGUCCACACUAUCAAAGUCCUUGUGGUACUCUUUUAGUUGAACUCUGCUAAUGGCAUGUAUAGGACUACCCUUUUGUUGUUAGUCAAGUACUUUGGUGUUGUAUAUAUUUGGAUAGCCAUGCGAAAAUGGCUUAUAUAUUUUGAGCAUAGUGUUAUAAUCAUUUUGUAUGUAUAUGGUUAACGAGAGGUGUGGAUAUGCUUGGCAAUGAUUGGCCAUUGGAAUGGUUAAUCAUGAUCAUAUUUUGUGCUAUAUAUGCUAAAGGGCUAGUUGAAUCAUGAAAACUAUGAAAUAGGUAAAGUCUACCUUAAAGGAAGAUGCUGACAGCAGCAGUAAUGUAAAUUUGAAAAAUCACUAAAAAUAGUAGGAAUGGAAUUAAAUAGUGAAUAAAUUAUUUAAUCUAACCUUGAUGAAUCUACUUUCAUAUGGAAGAAACGAAAUGAUCAUAUGAGUCGUAUUUUAAGAGAUAUUUAAGUUUUCAUGGAACAGGGCCAGAGCGAUUUCUGGAUCCCCUGAUCUGACUUUGGAAAUUCACUAUAAAUUAACAAGAUAUAAUUAGAAGUCAUGCCAUAUAUUUAUAGAUUCCUGUUUGAGUCUAGUUUCCUUAGAAACAAAUGGAAUAAGUAUUGAAGCCCUGUACAGGGAGAUAUAUAAGUCGUAAUGCAUAAAAGUCAGAGCAGUCGAACCCUGAAACAGGGGAGACUUUAACUAAUAAACUGUACUAAUUGGCUUGACCAAAAAUCCUAGAAAAAAAUUUAUAGAUGUACAUAUAAGUCUAGUUUCAAGGAAAAUUUACGGAACUGGUUUUCGAGUUGUGGAACUUGAGAUAUGAUUUUUAAGGUGACAGUGACGCAGUUAGCCAGCUUGUCUGGAAAUUUUAAAAUGGACUGUGUAAAUAAAUGAAUUAAGUCUGUUUGCACCUCGUGUUCGACUCCGGCAACGGUCUCGGGUACGGGGUGUUACAAUUUUAUUGGUAUCAGAGCCACAGUUUAGUCGAUUCUAGGACUACCGUAAUACGUUUGGGUCUAGCUAUACAUGCCAUUAUGUGAUUAUUUGAUAGUGUGGUGAUUUCUGACAAUUGAAAAUGUGUUUAUUUAUAGUAAUGGAUCCCGAUCCCAACCGAGCGGUAGCUGAUGAUCUUGAGAGUGUAGCGCCUGCUCCCGCGCAAGGGACAGCGCCGGCGGACUCUCAACCUAUUGCUAGUAAUCCGAACGAUGAAGCUAGACAAGCUUUUUAUAGCGUGAUGAAUGAUUGGUUCAACCAAUACAUUCGAACUAAUACGGCUGUUCCACAACCCCCAUUCCCGACUAAUACAACCCCCGCACCUGCAAUGCCUCCGGUCACUGACCAAAUAAGGUCAAAUAAUCCCCCAGUUGACAGAAUCUGAAAACACGGGGCUACUGAAUUUAAAGCUACAGACAGCGACGACGCCGAGCAAGCUGAAUUUUGGUUGGAUAACACUAUUCGGGUACUUGAUGAGCUAUCUUGCACACCCGAUGAAUGCCUAAAGUGUACUAUCUCCUUGCUACGUGAUUCUGCCUACUAUUGGUGGAAUACGUUGAUUUCUGUUGUGCCCAGAGAGCAAGUAACUUGGGAGUUUUUCCAAACCGAGUUUCGAAAAAAGUAUAUCAGUCAGCGAUUCAUCGAUCAAAAACGGAAGGAAUUUCUUGAACUUAAACAAGGUUCCAUGUCGGUUACUGAUUAUGAACGAAAGUUUGUAAGGCUUAGCCGGUACGCUCGAGAAUGUAUUUCUUCAGAAGCCGUGAUGUGUAAACGUUUCGAGGAUGGACUGAACGAUGAUAUAAAGCUGUAUGUUGGCAUUUUAGAAAUCUGAGAAUUUGUGGUACUUGUCGAGCGAGCUUGCAAAGCCGAGGAGCUCAGUAUGGAGAAAAAAAAGCUUGAUAUGGGACCAAAGGAGUUUCGUAAGAGAUCUUCGGGAAAAACCCUUUCAACAGUCAUCGAAGAAAUUUAGAGAUGAUUUAGGCCGAUCUAGAGAGACGAGAUCGUGAUCGACCCCCUGUGAGUGCACGAGUCACUUCGGUCGCCAGUGUUAGAAAUGAUCGUCGAGACAGAACGGAGUGCCAGUAUUGUGGUAAAUGGCAUUCGGGGAGUUGUAGUUCCAUGACCACUCCUGUUAUAAAUGCAGAUCAGCUGACCAUUUUAUCAAAGAUUGCCCGAGAUUGUCUGAACAGAAUAUAGAUCAGAGUGGGAAACCGGGUGCUACUACUGCUCGGGGUAGACCAUCUAGAAAUACGGGCAAUGCUAGUGGCGGUCAGAGAGGAUCUAGAGAUGCUACAACCAGAUCUGAGGCUCGUGCUCCUGCUAGAGCUUAUGCUAUACGCACACGCGAGGAUGCUUCCUCGCCAGAUGUUAUUACCGGUACUUUUACUCUCUUUGAUACUAAUGUGAUUGCUUUGAUUGACCCUGGUUCUACUCAUUCUUAUAUAUGUAAAACCUUAGCAUCCAGUAAGACUUUACAUGUUGAGUCUACUGAGUUCGUAAUUCGGGUGUCAAAUCCCUUGGGUCAUUAUGUGCUUGUCGACAAGGUGUGUAAGAAAUGCCCCUUAACAAUCCGAGGCUCCUGUUUUCCGGCUGACCUGAUGCUUUUAUCGUUUGAUGAAUUUGAUGUUAUCCUCGGUAUGGAUUGGUUGACCGUACAUGAUGCAAUUGUAAAUUGCAAAAGAAAAACCAUUGAUUUGAGGUGUGUAAAUAACGAGAUAAUCCGAGUUGAGUCUACUGAUUUGAAUGGGUUGCCAGCUGUAAUAUCAUCGAUGUUGGCUCAAAAAUAUGUAAGAAAGGGGUGUGAAGCAUAGCUUGCGUAUGUACUUGAUGACAAAGAGUUCGAAAAGAAACCUGAAUCUGUGCCGGUGGUUUGUGAAUACCCGGAUGUUUUUCCCGAAGAAUUACCGGGUUUACCACCUGUUCGGGAGGUAGAGUUUGGUAUUGAGCUCGUACUUGGGACUACACCGAUUUCGAUAGCUCCGUAUCGUAUGGCACCAACCGAGUUAAAAGAGUUGAAAGCUCAGUUGCAAGACUUGACGGAUAGAGGUUUCGCUCGACCUAGUUUCUCACCUUGGGGUGCACCAGUAUUGUUUGUGAAAAAGAAGGACGGAACCAUGAGGUUGUGCAUCGACUAUCGUCAGCUGAAUAAGGUGACAAUAAAGAAUAAAUACCCGAUACCGCGCAUUGACGAUCUGUUUGAUCAACUAAAGGGAGCCUCAGUGUUUUCAAAGAUAGAUUUGAGAUCGAGUUAUUAUCAGUUGCGAAUUCGAGACUCGGAUAUACCCAAAACUGCUUUCAGAACGAGAUACGGUCACUACGAAUUCUUAGUGAUGCCGUUUGGGCUCACUAAUGCCCCCGCGGUAUUUAUGGAUUUGAUGAAUCGGAUCUUCAGACAGUAUUUGGAUCGGUUUGUAGUUGUGUUUAUCGAUGAUAUUUUGGUCUAUUUGAGAAAUGAAACCGAUCAUGCUGAACACCUGAGAUUAGUGUUGUAGAUUUUACGAGAUAAGCAGUUAUAUGCUAAGUUCAGUAAGUGUGAGUUCUGGUUAAGAGAGGUGAGCUUCUUGGGUCAUGUGGUAUCCGCAUCGGGUAUUCGAGUUGAUCCAAGCAAAAUUUCAGCCAUACUUAACUAGAAGCCUCCGAGAAAUAUUGUUGAGGUUCGGAGCUUUUUGGGACUUGCCGGUUACUACCGACGGUUUGUAAAAGGUUUCUCGAUGAUAGCCACACCAAUGACGAAACUACUUCAGAAAGAUGUUAAGUUUGAAUGGACAGAAAAGUGUCAGAAAAGUUUCGAUCAACUGAAAACUUGUUUGACUGAAGCUCCAGUACUAGUGCAGCCCGAAUCAGGUAAAGAGUUUGUCAUUUAUAGUGAUGCAUCCCUACUUGGGUUGGGUUGCGUAUUGAUGCAAGAGGGUUGAGUUGUAACUUAUGCGUCGAGACAAUUGAAGCCACAUGAGAAAAAUUAUCCAACCUAUGAUCUCGAACUGGCUGCCAUCGUAUUCGCUUUGAAAAUAUGGCGACAUUACUUAUUUAGUGAGAAGUGCCAUGUAUAUUCGGAUCACAAAAGUCUCAAAUAUUUGAUGACUCAAAGUGACUUGAAUCUACAACAAAGACGUUGGCUCGAGUUGUUGAAAGAUUAUGAGCUUGUCAUUGACUAUCACCCGGGAAAGGCUAAUGUGGUUGCGGAUGCCUUAAGUCGUAAAUCACUGUUUGCUUUACGAGCGAUGAGUGUACACUUGUCCGUUCUAUCCGACAAUGUGUUAGUAGCGGAACUAAAGGCUAGACCAUUGUUGAUUCAUCAAAUUCGUGAAGCUCAUAAAGUCGAUGAUGAAUUAGUUGCAAAACGGGCUGAACGUGUUUCGAAUAUGGAAUCAGAGUUUCAAAUUGAUGAUGAUGAUUGUUUGAGGUUCAGAAGUCGUUUGUGUGUUCCAAGAAAUUCAGAACUUAUUUCGACGAUUCUGAACGAAGCUCAUUGUAGCCAAAUGUCAAUUCACCCGGGGAGUACGAAAAUGUACAACGAUCUGAGACGUCAGUUUUGGUGGCAUGGUAUGAAACGAGACAUUUUCGACUUUGUUUCGAAGUGUUUAAUAUGCCAACAAGUGAAAGCGGAACAUCAAGUGCCUACAGGUUUACUUCAGCCGAUCAUGAUACCUGAAUGGAAAUGGGAACGAAUCACGAUGGAUUUUGUAUCUGGGUUACCAUUGUCGGCGAGUAAGAAAGAUGCGAUUUGGGUUGUUGUUGAUAGACUAACUAAGUCGGCUCAUUUCAUUCCCAUACGUACGGAUUAUUCACUGGAUAAACUAGCUGAAUUGUAUGUUUCUCAUAUUGUGAGAUUACACAGGGUACCCAUUUCUAUUGUGUCGGAUAGAGAUCCGAGAUUCACCUCGCGAUUUUGGAAGAAAUUGCAAGAAGCUUUGGGUACCAAGUUGCACUUUAGCACCGCUUUUCAUCCUCAAACCGAUGGUUAAUCCGAGCGGAUAAUUCAGAUACUCGAGGAUAUGUUAAGAUGUUGCAUCCUUGAGUUUAGUGGUUCAUGGGAACGGUAUGUACCUUUGAUUGAAUUCGCUUACAACAAUAGUUUUCAAUCAAGUAUUAAGAUGGCACCUUACGAGGCUUUGUACGGUCGUAAAUGCCGUACACCAUUGUUUUGGACCGAGCUCUGUGAAAGUAAGAUUUUCGGAGUUGAUUUGAUUAAAGAUGCUGAGCAGAAAGUAAGAAUAAUUCGUGAAAGUCUGAAGGCGGCAUCCGAUCGUCAGAAGUUGUACGCGGAUUUAAAACGAAGAGAUAUUGAGUAUCAGGUAGGAGACAAAGUGUUUCUUAAGGUUUCACCUUGGAAAAAGAUACUCAGAUUUGGCCGUAAGGGCAAACUGAGUCCGAGAUUCAUUGGGCCGUAUGAAAUCUCCGAACGAGUUGGUCCAGUUGCAUAUAGGUUGCUUUUACCCCCUGAACUUGAAAGGAUUCACAACGUUUUUCAUGUUUCGAUGCUUCGACGUUACAGAUCUGAUCCUUCGCACAUAAUUAGUCCAUCAGAGGUUGAAAUUCAAUCUGACUUGAGUUAUGAAGAAGAACCGAUUCGUAUCCUAGCUCGUGAAGUGAAUGAGUAGCGAAACAAAAGGGUUCCCUUAGUAAAGGUGUUAUGGCUCAAACACGGAAUCGAAGAAGCUACUUGGGAAACCGAGAACUCUAUGAGAGAACGAUACCCAAAUCUAUUUACCGGUAAGAUUUUUGGGGACGAAAAUUUCUUAAGUGGGGGAGAGUUGCGACAGCCCUAAUGUGACCCUAGUCGGGAAGUGGUUUCGGGACCACAAAACCGAGUCAUAAAAAUAAUUAGCUAUCAUAUUUGAUGCUUAUUAUAUGUAUAUAUGCAUGUGUGAAAAUUUCAUAUUUGAAUUUUGUUAAUUGUAGGUGAAUUUUAGUAAAUAGGACUUAUGUGAGAAAAUUUAGAAAUGUGCUAGGCAAAUGUAAAGUGGCCUAUUAAUGCAUGUUAUAGAAAUGAUGGGUUUGCAUGUCAAAUUGCCCAAAAUUUGAGCUAGUGGCCGGCCAUGCUAUGGGUCAUAGCAUAUUUUAAGCAUGGCGUGUUAAUGUUUCAUGUUGGAAAGAAUAAAAUAAAAGAGUUAGAAAUAAAAUAAGGGGAUGAAGGGUGAAGAAAAGAAAAAAAAAGGUAUCACCUUGUUCUUCUUAGCCGUACAAGAAGAAGAAAAAGAGGGGGGGCAUUCGGCCUUUUGAAUGAAGAGAAGGUUAGUAAAUUUUGUUAAUCUUUCUUUUGAAAUCUUAGUUUGUUCAGGUUAAUCAUCAUGUUUUUCUUACCUAGCCAUACUAAAAUUUUGAAUUUAGAGGGUUGGAUGGAACUUUCGGUUAUGGUAUGUGUGAGAAGAACUUGAUUUUUUUCUUUCUUACCCUUAAGUUUUGAUGGAUAAAGAAACAAAAAGAUUGUUGAUGAAAGAAAUUAAUCUUGUUAAAACUUUAAACUAAUAACACCCAUGUGUGUGAUAGCCGAACAUAGACUUUGUUUAAAGUCUUGAUCAAAGGCCGGUUAAGUGUUUUGAAAUGGAUAUCUAAGGUGUUAAAUAAUAAAACUCUUGAUGACUUGGGUUAAAUAGCAUUCGGUCAUCUUAGGUUAAUAUUAAGGUAUGGAGCUUAUACUAGUGAUAGCCGAAUUAAAGAAUGCUUGAUGUCAUGAGUAAAUGUUGUUCAUGUUAUUUGGAUGAGAAAUGGUAGUUAGGUGAAGUAGAGUCUAGCAAAUGAGCACAUAUGUGCAUUAGUUGCUAAAUGGAGAAAAAUCGGCUAACAAGUGUGUACUAAGGCCGAAUAUGACUUGGAAUAUUAUUGAGUGAUGUAUGUGUUUUGAAUUGAUGGAAUGGAGAGGAUGCUUUAAUUGUGUUAUGAACAAUUAUAUGUUAAACUAAGGUUUGCUAAGCUAGCUAUUAAGGUGAAGUGCAAAUGUUAGUAUUUGAUUACUAGUAUAUAUAUAUGUGUAUUCGCCGAGUUUUGAACUUGAAACAAAAUGGUAUUUAGUCAAUACAGGUAACCAUAUUUGUGGAAUGUAUUAAGUAAAUAAUCGGCCUCAACAUAGACAUGCAUAUUCGGCCACAUGAAUGAAUACAUAGAUUGAUGUUAUACGUUCGGCUAUAGGUAAGCAUAUUGAUGGCCUUAUCUUGACUUAGAAAAUCGGCUAAAGGAGAAUAUUGGCUAAAAUGUUGAAUUUGAUUCAUGAUUUCAUACAUAUAUGACUCUAAUGCCUAAUAUAUAUAUAUAUGGGCUAAGUACCUUAAAUUCCUCCUUGAUGUUCAAAAUGAUUAAAUCAAUUUAUUUGUUAAAUUAAGCUCAAGAGCAAAGGGGGACUAAAUCCGAUAAAGGAAAGGAAAAGGUGAUCGAAUAGCCGUUGAAAUCGUUCGACAGCAUCCGAGGUAAGUUCUCGAGUAAUGGAACUUAGAUUAUGACUCGAUUAGAUCAUGUUAUAUAGCGAAUCAAAACCAUGCUUUUUGUAUGUGGCUAUUGAGCCGAAAAUGGUAAUGGUAGAUAAGUGCCUUGUGUUUGAGUUCUAGUAAUGAUAACGAAAUAAAAAUGUGUUAUGAUUUGUGGACAUAUGUGCAUGAUUAUUCGGAUGGUAACCGGGCUAAGACCCAAAGGCAUUUGUGCGAGUUGCUAUAUCCGGGCUAAGACCCGAAGGCAUUUGUGCGAGUUGCUAUAUCCGGGCUAGGACCCGAAGGCAUUUGUUCGAGUUGUUAUAUCCGGCUAAAUCCCGAAGAUACUUGGGUUUGGAAGUGAGCGAUCUUGCUGUAAUAAUUUCAAUUAAUACGCUCAUAAAAUCCAAACGAUAAGAUAUGUUUCGUACAUGCAUCGGAAAAGUCGAUUCGUUUUAAAUAGUAUCCGUUAAAUUGAUCAACGAAUUUUCGGCCUUUAGAUAGGUUUGAUACCUUGUGUAUGAAUAUAUUGGUUGAAGUGUAAAGUAAGUAUGAUUAUGAAAAUGUGCAUAUAUGAAGUUAUUCAUUUAGCUAUAUGAAUGUUAUACCUUAGCCGAAACUAAUUUCAUUAUUCAAAACUUACUAAGCAUUAAAUGCUUAUUCCGUUUCUUUGAUUCUCUGUUUCAUAGAUUUUGGUUCGUCAGCUAUCGGACUCGGGAUUGUCAAAGUCGAAGUCGUCCACACUAUCAAAGUCCUUGUGGUACUCUUUUAGUUGAACUCUGCUAAUGGCAUGUAUAGGACUACCCUUUUGUUGUUAGUCUAGUACUUUGGUGUUGUAUAUAUUUGGAUAGCCAUGCGAAAAUGGCUUAUAUAUUUUGAGCAUAGUGUUAUAAUCUUUUUGUAUGUAUAUGGUUAAUGAGAGGUGUGGAUAUGCUUGGCAAUGAUUGGCCAUUGGAAUGGUUAAUCAUGAUCAUAUUUUGUGCUAUAUAUGCUAAAGGGCUAGUUGAAUCAUGAAAACUAUGAAAUAGGUAAAGUCUACCUUAAAGGCAGAUGCUGACAGCAGCAGUAAUGUAAAUUUGAAAAAUCAUUAAAAAUAGUAGGAAUAGAAUUAAAUAGUGAAUAAAUUAUGUAAUCUAACCUUGAUGAAUCUACUUUCAUAUGGAAGAAACGAAACGAUCAUAUGAGUCGUAUUUUAAGAGAUAUUUAAGUUUUCAUGGAACAGGGCCAGAGCGAUUUCUGGAUCCCCUGAUCUGACUUUGGAAAUUCACUAUAAAUUAACCAGAUAUAAUUAGAAGUCAUGCCAUAUAUUUAUAGAUUCCUUUUUGAGUCUAGUUUCCUUAUAAACAAACGGCAUAAGUAUUGAAGCCCUGUACAGGGAGAUAUAUAAGUCGUAAUGCAUAAAAGUCAGAGCAGUCGAACCCUGAAACAGGGGAGACUUUAAAUAAUAAACUGUACUAAUUGGCUUGACCAAAAAUUCUAGAAAAAAAGUUAUAGAUGGAAAUAUGAGUCUAGUUUCAGGGAAAAUUUACGGAACUGGUUUUCAAGUUGUGGAACUUGAGAUAUGAUUUUUAAGGUGAUAGUGACGCAGUUAGCCAGCUUGUCUGGAAAUUUUAAAAUGGACUGUGUAAAUAAAUGAAUUAAGUCUGUUUGCACCUCGUGUUCGACUCCGGCAACGGUUUCGGGUACAGGGUGUUACACUAUUAUCCGUAUUGUUUUGUAUAUCAUGUAUUGUUUUUUAGUUUUCAUUUCAUUUCAUACAUAACUGCUGCAUAUUGUUUAUUCUUCAUUUGUAUUAUCAUUUUAAUUGUUAUUCAUAUAUAUUUGAAAAUUUGUUAUAUUUCCUUCUAAUAUGUUUCUUUGGUGAAUUAUAUUUUGGUUUCUUAUUAAUGUCUUAAAUAAGAUAUGAACUCAUUGCCAUGAUGUGUUGAUUAAUUCAUUUUUUAUGUUUAUACUAUUAUUCUUCGCCGAAUAUAGUACUUUAUUUGUGCAUAUUGUCCCAUGUUUAUAAUUUCACUUUUUUGUUUACAAAUGCUACUUUGUAAUUUGUGACUUUUUGUUUUAAAUCAUUUAUUCCAUUUUAUUUCAACUCAAAUUAAUGUGUUUUAAGCUAGUUUUAUAUUUGUUCAUUUGAAGAUCUUUAAAACAAAGAAAAUGUUCGAUAUUUGGCAAUUUGGGGAAACGUGCCCUAUCAUGCUGAGUUGCAAUUUCUGUUUGUUCAAAACAAUCAAAUAUUCCUUUGGAAUUUCACUUAUGUCUUUAAAAAUUCUUCAAAAUGAAGGUAAUGUUCGAUGUUUGGCAAUUCGGGGAAUUGUGCCCUAUCGUGCUGGGUUGCAAUUUCCCGUUUGUUUAAAAUAAUCGAACAUUCAUUUGAAAUUUCACUCGUGUUUUCUAAAUGCUAAAGCGAGGCAAUGUUUAAUGUUUGGAAAUUCGAGGAAUCGUGCCCUACCGUGCUGGGUUUCGGUUUUUCGUUGGACUAAAUAAUUGGGCGUCCUUUUGAAAUUUUCAACAUAUAAACUUUAGGAACUCAAAAUUUAUCAUGUUUUCGAGGGUAUAAAGGAUCGUGUCCUAUCGUGCUGGACGUGAUGCUGUAUUCCUCUGAAACAAGAGAAUUUUGAUGACCAACUUAGGUUAUUCAAAUGUUUAUAAAAGGAACCACAUUUCAAAAACAUUUUUAAAUCUUAGACAUAAGGACAAUAUUAAUCGAUUUGGUACCAAUUUUGGGCGUAGUGAGGGUGCUAAUCCUUCCUUAUACGUAACCGACUCCCGAACCCGUUUUCUCAUAUUUACAUAGGCCAAAAUUGAUUUAAAUGAAAUAAAACAUUUUGUUAUGGUGAUCCAAUCACACCUAAACAAAAAAGAUUGGUGGCGACUCUACAUUUUCGUUUUUAAAAUCGAUCGACCGUUUUUUUCUUUAAAUAUAAAAAAAAUGGUUUCGACAGCUUGACGACUCCGUUGGGGACAUGAACAAGAGAGUCAAGCCAUAAAAUCGAUUAUUUGUUGUCCUUUUGUCAAAGAAUUGAAAAUUUAUUUUGAAAAUCAUGUUUUUUUCGAUUGCAUUUGAUUGUAUGAUUGUUAUGGUUUAGGUCUUGUGGAAUAAUAUUGCAUUUCAUUGCAUGACCACUGUGGUCACACCUCUUAAGUGGGAGUAAAAAACUAUGCUUUCGUGAGGUUUUUACCUCCGCAUGGGCUAGUGGAUUGCUUUCGGGGUACAUCCGUACCUAUGAUUUCGUGAGAUUUCCAUCUCCGCAUGGUCAUAGGGAAAUGUACCCCUUGAAUCGAACUCGAUCCAUAGAGCCUAUAAUGGGUGAGGGUUGAGGAAUCUGCUAGUUCAGGUACCCUCUCCCUAGAACCGAGCCAUAUAUAGUGAACCUUGAGAGUCCACCUUAGGUAGGACCUUGCCCAAAUUUAGUGGUCACCCAAAUAGGUACUUUAUUUGUUAUUUAUUUCUAUACUAACGUGUUUUAUUUUUUUUAUGACUGCAUUGCAUUACAUCAUCAUAGAAAGGAGGUUGAUUCAUAUUUGAUUGCUAAAUUGAAUAGUUUGUCAUAAGAAAAUGAAUUGCUUGAUAAAGUGGACUACAAUAUGGUUGUCUGAAUAUGGUCCAAGUAAACACGACAGAAGAAGGCUGACAGUUCACGGAGGAAAACAAUACUUUACCUGGGAUUCAAGCUGAUAAAGAUUAUUCAAGAGCUGUCGCGUCCCAACUUUCUUAAAGGAGCUAAUCAACAUUGCGAGGAUAAUAAGUCGUGGCCUGGAUCAAGCAAAAAGGAGCUAGUAGAGGCAUUUAUUGGAAGCAUGUGAGAUUUGACUUUCACGAAGAGAAGGGAUCAGUGUCUUCGCCUGGAAUAUGAAAGCAAGGCCGUAUACGUAAUUCGUUUUAUGUAAAAUAAUUUGUUUUCUAGAAAAGUUGUUCUAAGGGAAUUGAAUUCAAAAUCAACAUCUUUCUUUCCUUUGCAUUCAUCCUAUGUGUUUGCAUUGCAUUGCAUCAUUUGCAUUAGAUUUUCCCAAAAGGACCCUAAUUAGGUAAAAUUAUUUCAGAACCGACAAGGGACAUAGACCAAAGGUUGGACAGAAUAGAGCAAAGGCAAAUACAGAUACAAGAACAAUUGAUCAAAAUUCAACAAGAUAUGCGAGAACAAAUGCUAAAACUCUAAAGAAAUAUGAUGGGCCAGUUAACCUAGUUACUGGCCGGAGAAUUUGAAAAAAGGAGUGGCCCAGUGGUCAAUAGUGAGGAUGAUAAUGAAGAAAUCAUCUAUUCCCUUGGUUUUACCCCAAUAAGCAUCCUGACCCAACCAGACAUACAAGGGGUACCCGUCGUUAUCGGACCCCAAUAUCAGACUGAUAUAUCGGCACUGUUGAGCUUCUCGAUGGGUUCAGGUUUUAACCCGAAAGAUGAUUGAGCCAAACCAAUUGUUCUGGCAGAAACGAAAGAAAGGGGAGAGUGGACUUUAAAUGCCCCAAAGAAGAAGGAAAAGAAAGUAAAUAGUAUGAGUAGGUAUAACAAGAGUCGUUCGGAGCUGAUUAUAGUAAGCCAGCCAAGGACGGUAACUGCCAGCCAUCAGGCCUCCCCAAGGCAAGAACCUAAUCGAAGACUGAACUCAGAAAAACCCCAAUUCACGCUCAUCCCAAUCACAUACAGAGAGUUGUACCACAUUCUGUUCGACGCACUUGUUGUAUCCUCUUUUUACAUAGAACCAAUAUAGCCUCCAUACCCUAAAUGGUACGAUGCAGGCAGUCGAUGUGAAUACCAUGCGAGAAUCACGGGGCAUUCCAUUGAGAACUGUACCGCUUUUAAAAAGUUAAUCGAAAGAUUUACCAAAUUGGGCAUCGUGAAAUUCGAUGAUCUCUCUGAUACAGAAAAUUUAUUACCCAACCUUCCUGUUAAAGGGGUAAACAUUAUGAGUUCUAUGAUGGAUAGAGGUAUGAGAUUUAAGGGUGCAUCGAGCUCAGGACCCUAAUGCAAGACCUGAUAUUGGGGAAUCUGAACGUUAACAACGAAUUAGAAGAGGGAAGCCAGGAGUAGAAUUUUUCGAGCAUCUGCCCUUACAUACUUGGGAAUGUUUUGAACCAUGAGACUGUGGAAGAGACCCCUGUAUUUUUAGAGUUAAUCUAGAGUAAUAUUCAAAACACGAUUGUUUCUUUAAGCCUAGAAGCAACAAGAAUCCUUUUGUAAAAUAGGCUUAUAUCCAAAAUCUUUAUUUCAAUAAAAUGCAUGUUUGUUAUUAUUUUGAGUAAAUAUUCUUUUAUUCUUUCCAUUUCAUACCGUUCAAACAAUUAUUCUUAAAUUCUUUUAUUUUUUGGACAUUCUUUCGAAUAUUUUUCAUUCAUGAUCAUCCCAUACAAAUAAUUAUCCUUGGAAUAAUUUAUUCUUUGAAAAUUGCCUUUGUACCUACAGCAGGUCUCUAGAUAUCAAUGACGGGAGCGACGCUGUCACUAACUUUGAGUCUCUUUUUGAGUAAAAUAUGUGUCUAGAGGGAUCUCAGGACCUUGAAGAUGAUAGAGAUUGUAGCCUAUCUCCUGAUUUGUUAAAGAUGGUAGAACAAGAUGAGAAAUAGAUUCUACCUUACAAAUGGGCAAUAGACAUCUAAGUGAAGAAAAGAGGUGAAGAUCAAACCCUAGCUCACCACAAAGGCAAAGUGAGACAUCAUUAAGUUAUUCCCAAUUCAAAGAUGUUUUCGCAUGAUCGCAUUAAGACAUGCAUGGGCUAUUAAGACGUGAAGAUGCUGCAAGGUGUUUGAACAGCAUAUGCUAAUGGCUUUAUGAUGGCCAGGCUAAUCAUGAGAUUUGAGUUCUGUUGGCCCACCGUAAAAGGGAAUCGUAUCAGUUAUGCCAUAAAUGCCAAAUGGAGGAAGACAAGACUUAUGUGCCUCCAUUUCUUUACAGAUUUUCUAUAUGUGGGGCACAAAUAUUAUGAGGCUGAUCUCGUCAAAAGCUUCUAACCGAUACUGAUUCAUCUUUGGGGUCGUCGAUUACUUCGUGAAAAAAAUGAAAGUCAUUUCAUAUGGCCAAUGUUACUAAGUCAACAAUCAUCAAAUUCCAAAUAUAUAUAAUAAUAAUAAACCAAAAAACAAAAAAAACAAAAACAAAAAAAAAUAAUAAAAAAAUCGUGGAAGAUAAUCGAGGCUUGUAAAGAUUGGCAUAAAGACGUUACCAUUUACCCUCUAUACCUAUAGAACGUCGGCCAGAACUUUCACCAGGGCAACACAUUGCUUAUUUGCUUAAUGGGAUAGAAACAGUUUUGAAAACAAGAUUUCUUUUGGCCAAGUCUUGUCAAAGCUGAAGUUGGAUCAGACAGAAUAGAUCCAAUCUCGAUAUGAUCAGUUGAAUUUGAAGAAAGGUGGUUGAAAGCCAUCUGUCAUGGUCCAAUGUACCAGAAAUGAAUGAUGCGAGCUUACGACAAAAAGGUUUGUUCUAGAGAAUUCCACGAGGGGGACCUGACGUUGAAAAAGAUCCUUUUUAUACAAAAGGACUUCAGAGGAAAGUGGACGCCAAACUGGGAAGGAACUUAUGUAGUGAAGAAUGCCUAUUCUAAGAGGAGCAUCAAUCCUAGCCGUUGAUGGCAAGGAUAUGCCCAAUCCAGUGAAUUCAAAUCCAGUCGAGGAGUAUUCUACCUAAAAGGAGAGUCGAAGGUGAAAACCUAUAAAUGAAGCCUAAAAAAAAGAAAAAGAAAAAGGAGAGGCCAAGGCAAAAACCCGCAAAGGGUGCUUUGAGACCAAAGGGGAUUUGAGUUGAAAACCCGAAAAGGACGGUUCAAAUUUGGAUCAAAGUGGGGCAUACAGUAGUCUUGCUAUGCCUGAAUUAACAAUGAAGAAGUAUGCUACAUCUUGGGGCAUUGACAAAGUACUCCAGAUCCCCUAAAUAUAUAUUGAGCUCAAAAUGGUCCACAAGAAGUUUGUACAGAGAAGCUCAGGCUGCGAUAUCUAGGGCACCUAGUUUUCAUCUUACCCUUACUGAAUUUACUAUCUUUGAUUAUUUUAUUCGUUUCAAAAUAUGCUCCUAAUAAAUUUCCUUCUAAUUACAUUGCUAUCUUUGAUUAACUUAUCUCGAGUUAAUUCCAUCUUAUUACAUUUGCAAUCUUUGAUAAACUUAUUUGUUUCUAGCCAUGCUCUCAAUCAAUUUCCUUCUUGUCCAUUGUUACAGUCUUUUUCAAGCAUUUCUCAUUGAAAUAAUGAUUAAUAAACCAAUAAAGCUUUAUGCAUAUUACUCUGGAGGCUUCUAAAUAGUAUAAGACCCUGAAACAGGAUUGUUGUUUAGAACUCACCAAACCUAAGGGAUGAAAAUGCUUGAGAAAAAGGAGUCUAAAUUGUGGCUAUCUCUUCGGAUUUUCUAUCAAAGGUAUCAGUUGAACGAAGAGGCAAGGUAUUUCGUCGGUGAUACAACCUCGACAAAUGACGAGCAAUGUCAACCCAAGUGUACAAGGGGAUCAUUCUCGGGAAAAGAAAAAUGAUACUCUGCAUUUAUGUAAAUAUUAGACACAUACAUCUGGUCAUUAUACCCAAGGAAUGGUGUAACAGAUCAAAUUGAUUGAAGAUGAUAAAAAUCAUAUACCUCUGAGUUGCAACAGGUUUAAAAAAAGAAGAAGCAAAUAUUAUUCCCCUGAAAUUGCGGUGGGAGAUGCAAACUUUAUGUCCCAGAAGGUACGGUGGAAGGGACUCUAAAAUUACAGUGGGGCAAGCUUGCUAAGCAAAAUGUGAUUGUUUCUUUGACUUUUCUGUCAAGAAUACUAGCCGAACAAAAUGGCGGCGUAAUACAUCAAUGAUAGAACCCUGAUGAACUAUGAGUAAUGAUACCUUAAGCUUUUAAAAAUGAAUCAUUCUUACAACAUUUCUGUAUUCAUAAUCAUUCAUCUAGUAGGAGCAUUUGACUCCUUCUGAUCAUAGCAUCCUAGUCGUUUGGCAUAAGCAUAGGCAUAUGAAACCAAGUCUAUAAGACAUGUUCCCUAGAGGACAGUGUAGCGACAUUGGCGAGAAUUACAAGUCUUGUCUCCCUAAACAGUAGUGGAACAGAUCGAAGAAAGCAAGCCUUAACCCCCUAAGUGGUAGGGUAACAGGCUGAAAAUUGUAGAUCUUGUCUCCCUAAAUAGUAUUGGAGCAAAAUCAAAGAAGCAAGCUUUAACUCCCUAAGUGGUAGGGUAACAGGCUGAAGAUUGCAGAUCUUGUCUCCCUAAAGCUACAGUGGAACAAAUCAAAGACGGUGACCCUUAACCCCCUAAGUGGUAAGGUAACAGGCUGAAGAUUGUAGAUCUUAUCUCCCUAAACAGUAGUGGAGCAAAAUCGAAGAAGCAAGCUUUAACUCCCUAAGUGGUAGGGUAACAGGCUGAAGAUUGCAGAUCUUGUCUCCCUGAAGCUGUAGUGGAACAGAUCAAAGACGGUGAGCCUUAACCCCCUAAGUGGUAGGGUAACAGGCUGAAGAUUGUAGAUCUUGUCUCCCUAAACAGUAGUGGAACAAAUCGAAAAAGCAAGCCUUAACCCUUUAAGUGGUAGGGUAAUAGGCUGAAGAUUGCAGAUCUUGUGUCCUUGAAGCUGCAGUGGAAUAGAUCAAAGACGGCGAGCCUUAACCCUUUAAGUAGUAGGGUAAUAGGCUGAAGAUUGUAGAUCUUGUCUUCCUAAACAGUAGUGGAGCAAAUCGAAGAAGCAAGUCUUAACCCCCUAAGUAGUAGGGUAACGGGCUGAAGAUUGCAGAUCUUGUUUCUCAGAAGUUGUAGUGGAACAGAUCAAAGACGGUGAGCCUUGACCCCUCUAAGCAAGAGGGUAACAGGCUAAACUAUAGAUCUUACCCCCUAAGCAGUAGGGUAACAGGAUGAACUACAGAUCUUACCUCCCUAAGUAGUAGUUGGGCGGAUCAAAGACGGUGAACCUUAACCCCCUAAGAAGUAGGGUAACAGGCUGAGAAUUACAAGUCUUGUCUCCCUAAGCAGAGUGGAGCAGGUUGAAAUCAACAGCAGAUCCCCUUGAAGUUCUAGCGGAGUAAAUCGAAGCUACAAAUCUCUUCUCCCUGAAAUUACAAUGGAACAGAUUGAAGCUAAAUAAACAGAUCUUACCUCCUUGAAGCUGCAAUAGAAUAGAUCAAGCUAAUUGCAGAAGCAUAGAUUAAAGCCACAAAUCUUACCCCUGAAAUUACAGUGGAACACAUUGAGGAUACUUGAAGAAAAGAAGCGUCAAGAGAAGUCGAGACUCGACAAGACCGGGCAAAACUAGCCCUCUUCAAAGUCUUUGCUCUAUUCUCGUUACACGAUAAUGAGCAAAGAGGGGCAGCUGUACAGGCCCAAAUUUGCCCGGCCCAGACCCAACAAGCCCAAAUCAAAUACAAAACCAAACCAAACCCUAAACGGGCCCAAAACUAAACCCUAGUCCACUACAAAGCCUAAAUUAGAAACAAAACAAAAAAAACAAAAAAACCCUAGCAGUUUGGCGCUGCAGCCUCUAGCCUCCGUACGCUCCCACGCAUGACCUCCGUACGCCCCAGCGCUGCUCGUGCCUCCACGUCUUCCUCUGUACCUGCAUGAAGACAAAAACAGCACAGCAAAAUAGCAGCAAAGAGAAAAAUGAUAGCAAAGAAAUUCUUUGUAUUUUUUUCUUUUUAUUUUCAACUAUAAAGCCAUAAAGUUUUUCAUUGUAAAAGGAUACAAAAAAAACGCAAUAGAAGACAAUCAAAUAAAAAAAAAACAGAGAAAGGUGAUUUCAAAAUUUGUUAUUCUUUUCUUUCGGUUUUCUUUAUUAUUUAUUUUUUUGCUUUUUAAAUUUCUUUUUUUUACAAAAUAUAAAUAAAAGGAGGAAAAAAAAACUUAUCCAAAACCGGGGUUGCGUCGCCGGAGUAUUCUUUCCCGUCUUCGGAGUUGAUGCAAGGAGAAGGCGGGGGGUCCUUUCUCCUCCGUUUUCCUCGGUUUAGAGAGGCCUCACCAUCAAAUCGUCCUUCAAAAGGGUCAAAAAAACUCGAUUCCAUGAGGCUUUGGACCACCGUCUACGGUGGAAGCCACGGUGGGUUCACGAUGGUUCGACGACAGCAACGAAAGAGUUUUUCAAACCCUAGCAGAGCAAGAAAAGGGGAAACUUUGAGAUUUUUUUUAAAAAGAAAUCAGCAGAAAUGAAGCUUUUUUAAAUAAAAAAAAUUGGUUUAAAUAAAUGGAUCAAACGACGUCGUUUUCAGUCCAGCGUUUAAACGCUGAAACGGUGCCGUUUCACGGCCCUUGACCGGCUUCUGGACCCGACCUGCAAACUAGAUCCGCGUGCUUUUGCGGUGAGGGGUUAUUUUCACGGAUAGUCCCUUCUUGUUGCGCUGACAUUUGAUUGGGCCCAAUUCGAAUUCAUUUUAUUCUUAAUUUUUUUCGGAAUUUCGUGUGUCGUCUCAAAUUAGUCCGCGCUUAAGCGUUUCGUUUUGGAGUUGGGACCAUUUGCAUUUUUAAUCCUCGGCCAUUUGAGCGCAUUGCACUUCGGUCCUUUCAAUGGUUUAUUCUAUUUGUUAAUUAGCUCUUUUAAUUUGCUUUUAUUUCAAUUAAGUUUUUUCUCAUUUUAAUUUGUAUAGUUCAUUAUUUUUUUUAUUCGUUUAGCAUUCAUCUUUUAUUUUUUAUAUACAUUUUAAAUUACUUUGAUAAUUUACUUUGUUUUUUUUUAUUUUUUAAAUUAUAAAACUAUUAUUUUAAAAUUACCUUGUAUAUCAUAUUGUUUUUAAAAUUUUGUAUAAUAUUUAAUUUAAAUUAAUCUUAUAUUAAUAUAGAUAUGAUUUAUGACAAAAUUAGUUUUAUUUUAUAUACAUUAUUAGUUCCAUGUUAUUUUUCAUAUAUAAUUUCUUAAAUCUAUUUAUUUGUAUUUCGUUUCAAAUUUAUUAAGUAUUUUAUUCUUUAAAAAAAUAUGUUUUAUUAUUUCUUUGUUAUUUAAGAUUAUUCCAUGUAUAUAUUGUUUUAUUAUAUAUUGAUUUGUUAUUCUGUCAUAUAUAUUGUUUAUUCUUUAUUUUUAUUAUAUCUUCAUUAUAUAUUGUUUACAUUGAUUUUUAUUAUUGUAUGUAUAUCAUCACCUUUAAAUAGAUAUGUUUUGUUUAAAAUAUUUUCAUAUAUUACUUGCUCCAAAUUUCUUCUUUUACAAUAUUUAUUUAAAUCUUCAUUUACAAAUUCUUAGUUUUAUUUUAUAUAUGUAAAUCAUUUCAAACCCUAACAUGUAUAGUUCAUUUUUUAAAAUUUUUAUUAUUAGUGGUUUUUGAAUUGUUGCACAUUAUAUUGAAUCCUAUUAUCCGUAUUGUUUUGUAUAUCAAGUAUUGUUUUUUUAGUUUUCAUUUCAUUUCAUACAUAACUGCUGCAUAUUGUUUACUCUUCAUUUGUAUUAUCAUUUUAAUUGUUAUUCAUCUAUAUUUGAAAAUUUAUUGUAUUUCUUUCUAAUAUGUUUCUUUGGUGAAUUAUAUUUUGGUUUCUUAUUAAUGUCUUAAAUAAGAUAUGAACUCAUUGUCAUGAUGUGUUGAUUAAUUCAUUUUUAUGUUUAUACUAUUAUUCUUCACUUAAUAUAGUACUUUAUUUGUGCAUAUUGUCCCAUGUUUAUAAUUUCACUUUUUUGUUUACAAAUGCUACUUUGUAAUUUGUGACUUUUUGUUUUAAAUCAUUUAUUCCAUUUUAUUUCAACUCAAAUUAAUGUGUUUUAAGCUAGUUUUAUAUUUGUUCAUUUGAAGAUCUUUAAAACGAAGAAAAUGUUCGAUGUUUGGCAAUUCGGGGAAUCGUGCCCUAUCAUGCUGGGUUGCAAUUUCCGUUUGUUCAAAACAAUCGAAUAUUCCUUUGGAAUUUCACUUAUGUCUUCAAAAAUUCUUCAAAAUGAAGGUAAUGUUCAAUGUUUGGAAAUUCGGGGAAUCGUGCCCUAUCGUGCUGGGUUGCAAUUUCCCGUUUGUUGAAAAUAAUCGAACAUUCCUUUGAAAUUUCACUCGUGUUUUCUAAAUGCUAAAGCGAGGCAAUGUUCAAUGUUUGGAAAUUCGAGGAAUCGUGCCGUACCGUGCUGGGUUUCGGUUUUUCGUUGGACUAAAUAAUUGGGCAUCCAUUUGAAAUUUUCAACAUAUAAACUUUAGGAACUCAAAAUUUAUCGUGUUUUCGAGGGUAUAAAGGAUCGUGUCCUAUCGUGCUGGAUGUGAUGUUGUAUUCCUCUGAAACAAGAGAAUUUUGAUGACCAGCUUGAGUUAUUCAAAUGUUUAUAGAAGGAACCACAUUUCAAAAAUAUUUUUAAAUCUUAGACAUAAGGACAGUAUUUAAUCGAUUUGGUACCAGUUUUGGGCGUAGUGAGGGUGCUAAUCCUUCCUCAUACGUAACCGACUCCCGACCCCGUUUUCUCAUAUUUAUGUAGGCCAAAAUUGAUUUAAAUGAAAUAAAACGUUUUAUUACGGUGAUCCAAUCACACCUAAACAAAAAAGAUUGGUGGCGACUCCACAUUUUCGUUUUUAAAUUCAAUCGACCGUUUUUUCUUUAAAUAUAAAAAAAUGGUUUUGACACCAUGAUUUAAGGGAUAUGGUUAAUCUCGUCCGUCGAUGUAAAUGUACCUUAACCGUCGGUUUUGGGGGAGCUCAACUAUAAAUAGAGAGCCUCCCCCUCAUUUGUACUCACUCCAUUCAUUGUUUCAUUAUUUUUUGUGAAUAAGAGAAUAUUGAGAACAUUUACUAAACACUUUGUGUGCGCUCUUUCUAUUUUUCUUUGUAAGCUUCGUUUGGCAAAAAUCGCUUCUGCUCUACAAAUUGGUGCCUUGGAGGACUUCUAAAGGAAUCCUCACUUGAAUAAAGGCUGACUUAGGCAAGUUUGGACGAAUGGAUCACCUAAGGCCGCACAGAUCGCGAGACGAAAGAUCUAGCCCCAUGACAUAGUGUGUACAGUUAACCACCGUUAGAGAUUUAACGAUUAAGUGAGUAAAAUGAAAACGCUUUAAAAAUUGGGUAACCAACUAAUCAGUUUACCUUUACUUUAAUCUUUAAUGGUUAUGGUCAAUUUUGACGAUUAUGUUUAAAUUUCAUCUUUAAUCCCCUUACUUUUUUGAGAUUAUACAAGAAUGGUUAAAUUUAAAUUUUGAUCUCUAUAUUUCACUCAAAUUUGAAACUGAAUCUCUAUAGUUUAAUUUUGACAUAAUUUGGCACCUUGAUUCUUACAAUGUCAUUAGUUAAUCUAAAUACUUUAUUCUGAUUACAAUACAUAUGUGAAAUUUUAAGAAUUGUUAACACUGUUAAAAUUCUCUAUUAAAUUCAAGUUCAUUAUAGUGUCUUUUUUUGUUACAUGGAUACCAAAUGAAUAUCUUUUUAAUUUCAAAAGGUUACGCUAACAAAUUUAACAAAAGAAUUAUAAUAAUGUUAACAAACAAAUCUAAAUUUUUAAAUUCAAAAAAUAGAAAGACUAAAUUCCCCCCCAAAAAAUUAAAUUCUAAAUACUCGAAAAAUACUUUAUUGUUAUAAAAUAAAGAGAGAUAAGGAGAAUAAAGAACAAAGAACACAUGAGAGCAACAGAGAAUGAACUUUAUUGAUCAAAAGGGGAUGAUUACAAUGCUUCAUCAGAGUCUCUAUUUAUAGGCAAAAGAAGUAUAAAAGAAGUAGAGAUUUAAUUGUAAUAAAUAUUAGAAUUUAAAGUACAUUAAAACUUUAUCUUGAUCAUGAUGGACAUCCACUUAAUAAGAUAUUCAUAACACUCCCCCUUGGAUGUCCAUUGGUAGAUAAUGUGCCUCGUUAAAACCUUAUUAAGAAAAAUCUUGUCGGAUAAAAACCUAAUGAAGGAAAAAGAGUACAUGAUCUAUAAUACGCAUAAUAUGCUGCCUCAUUAAAAACCUUACCAGGAAAAUCCAAUGGGACAAAACCUCGGUUAAGGGAAAAAGAGUACAACACGUAUUUACUCCCCCUUAUGAAAACAUAACAUACUUUCUCAUAUUCUACGUAUUCAAUCUUGAUACUAAUUUUUCAAAUGACUAUUUGAAUGUAUUGCUAAGCAUUUAUACCACCAUUCUUUUGAAAAUCAUGAGUGAGGGAAAAUUUUGGGGAAACAUAUUUUGAUCUCUUCAGUAAUUUCAACAAUAAUCAUAGCAAACUUUAAUCAUGAUCCUUCUAUAAAAAUACAAAUAGGUAUUUUGGAUCAUUUUAUGAUCCUCUUUCAUCUACUAUUGAUUAAGUCAAAUUUACCAUAUAUGUUCAAUUAUUUCAAUUCAUAUAAAUAAAAAAUUUCCCGAGAAUUUCAAUAUGCUUCUAGCAUUUUAAAUCCUUCAAGGAUUUUAAUAUAAACUUUACUAUAGAGCGAUUCAUAAAAGGUUGUAACAAUAUCCAUUAGAAGCAAGUUAAAUCGUUUAUGAAUUGUCAAUUUAAUAAUAUAUUUAAAGGUUAUUGCAUCUACCACAAAAGAAUAUUAUAUCUUUUCAUAAUCAAUGCCAGGACUUCAUGAAAAAAUUCAUAUUGUUAUUCCGCUUUUACAAAACUACUUUAAUUGCACCUUUACUGACUUUAUACCUCUAUAUAUUUGGACUACUGGUCCAAAAACUCCACAAGUUUAAUUGUACUUGAGUUGCGUCUUUCUAUUUUGAUCAAUUUAUUUUAUAUCUAUAUUUCUUAAUAGAUUUAUUUAGGAUCUUCCUUUUAUUUUAUUAUAAUAAUACUGUAUGCAAAAUCAUUGUCGACCACUUUUAUUAUUCGGUUCUAUAUUUUCUCGAAUUGACUUAACUUAUCGAGAUCUCUUAUUUUCAUUAUUUUAAAAUUCAGUUUCAGGUACUUGAAUCUCUUCUAAAGUUUUACUUAUUAGUUAUAUCUUGGGUCUCUUUUGGAGCACCCGCCUCCACUAUUUGACCAUCUAGAAUAAUUUUCAUAUUUGGAACCGAUCAAUCAAUUAUUUAUUCCAAUUGAUUUUCCUACUGGGACUUUGAAUCAAACUAAAAUAUUAGAUGGUAUAUAACACUUGGUUAUUCUCAUUAAGUUUGUAAAUAUAUUUAACAGUUAACUUGUAAUGAGUUAUCCUUAUUGAACUUCUGGUUCAAAUUAUUCUCCCCCUAACUCAUUACAAGUUAUUAUUUCUCUCCCCCUAAUGUAGAGAAAACUAUUGAAUCAAAAUUGUAAUCACAAAUAAACUUGUAAUUAAUAUAUAUUCCCAACUUUCUUUCAGGAUUCACUCAUCUUUGUGCAUUGUGGUGGAGCAAUUGGAACAUAUACGCACGUACAAAAAUUCAAAGAUGAGAAAUAUUUAGGUAUUGAUCAAAAACCAAUUGUAAUGGGAGUAUUUAUAACUUAUUAGUUUGAUGCGUACAACACGGAAAUUAACAUAACCUCAUGUUGAAAUAGAAAGUUUAGUUCUCAUAAGUAAUGGUUUAGCUAUUAGUUGGAGGGAUUUGAUAAACAAUUCAGCUAAAUCAUUUUGUCUGUUAACAUGAGCUAUAGGAUGUUCAACUUUUCUCCCAAUUGAUAUGCAAUAAUCAUUAAAAUCUUGGGAUGUAAACUCACCAACAUUAGCAAGAUGAAUUGUUUUAAUUGCAUAAUCUGAAAUUAAUCAUUUAAACAAGAAAUCUCGCAAAUGACAGGUUGCGAGUUGAUAAUGCAUGCGAUUAUUUUGUAGAUCCAUCUACAAAAAUUAUAUAAUAUCAAAACCAUCCACAUGGUGGAUGAAUGGGCCCAUAUUCAUUUCAGAAAUGCAAAACAUUAAAUCUCAAAUUUAACUAAUGAGUUUCUAAUAAUCAAUUUUCAUUGAGAACAAACAACAAAUGAGAAUUCUUUAAAUUAAUGAAUCUUUUGGUUUUUUAAUUGAAUGUCCAUAUGAAUUCUCAAUUAAUUUUCGUAUCAUUUAUGAUCCAGGAUGGUCUAACUGGUCACGCCAAGUAGUAAACACAUUUGUAUUAGUAAACUUCUAGCAUGUGUUUCAAUUGUACUAAAUUGUAACAAAUUGAUAAUUGUAUUAUCAUUCCUUUUUUAAUUUUUAUCCACAUAUAAUUACUAUUGUGACAUUUACUACUGGAAAUAUCUAUAUCAAUGUGAAGUCUAUAAUAUCACCAAGUCAAUAAAUAUAAUUUCCAAAUAAUUGUAUGCAAUAUUCGCUUCAGGGAAUAUGCCAAAAUCUUCAAAUGCCCAAAAAUCUAUUAAUAGCAAACUUUGAGAGUGAAUUUUAUUUUCCAUGUGUAUAACAGGUACAUAACUAAUGACUUUUCAUACAUAAUUUUUCUCUCUUGCAAGUUCUUAUCAGUAAUAUUUUACCAUGUAAUUUUAAUUGAAAACUUAUUCUGAAUACUGUAGAGUUAUACUCACAGUUUUUAAAAAGUACUUACGACUUUAGAUACAUCCAACCCAUAAUAAGCUUUAGAUAGAAUUAUCAUAUUCUAUUACUCAUGAGUAUAUCUUUCACAAUCAAAUAUUUUGCUUUCAACCCUUUAAUAGGGAUGAUGACAAAAGAAUAUCAUAAAGAUUAUAAAUUAAUAACUCAAUCCCUUUUUUGUUCAUAUGAAAUAUAAUAUUUUCCUCAUUCACAAUCUCAAUAUGAGAUCUAUUACAAAUAACUUUUAAAAGUAAUGCAUUAACCAUCACAAAUUUCGUGCUUUUUAGAUAGUGAUAUAUUAGCUCUUCUGGAGCUUUCAACUAAUUUUAUACUAUCAAAUAUUGGGAUAAUAUUUGUUUGUUUCAAUACCAAAUAAGAUAAAUAUUUUGUAUCUAUAAUGAUAUUCCUACAUUUUCAUAUCCUGCCUCAGGAUAUUAACAGAAACAAAAUAUUUGGGCAUACACCACAUAUGUGGCCAAUAAUAUUUCAUAUCAGAUAUUGAUAACAUAAGUUAUCUUUACCCUUUAAAGAGUUAUCUUAAGAAUUCUCGUUGUUCUCUUAUUUAUUACUAUGUUCCCACUUUUAGUGGUCCAUUAGUAUAUCUUUUAUUUUCUUUAUGUUUACAUUCACUUCAAGGAAUGCAAUAAAUCUAGUAGGACAGACUUGUAAACAUCCCAAUAGAUUCUUUAUUUCAUAAUUACAAUCGCAAACAUGCGUGAGAUUUCAAAUCAAAAUCUAUCUAUGCAUGUUGUCAUGAUUAGUCUCCUAUUAUUAUAAACAAUAAAUAAAACAUAGUAAAAUAUACCUGAAGAUCUUUAACAUCAUCGUCAUCACUAGAAGGAAUGAGAUAGUUCAAAAAUAUUUUUGAUUUCAUAUGGAUAACAAUAUCAAAUCUUUCACCAUCCUUAAGAAUAAAAAGUAAAAUAAGUUAAUCAAAAUAAUGAUAACAUAUAAUGAAAGAAGAAUGAAAAAUAAUAAUCAGAUAUGAAACAUUAAAUAAAAUAAACUUCCUGUAAAAACUUUGCAUCUUGCCGUCAAAGAGAUUGAAAAUCAUAGAGGAUAAAUUUGAUCGUCGAUAAAAGGAACUAUCACUUUGAGCAAGAUCGUGCUGAUAAUGUGUUAUAAAAUAAAGAGAGAUAGGGAGAAUAAAGAACCAAGAAAAUAUGAGAGCAACAGAGAAUGAACUUUAUUAAUCAAAAGGGGAUGAUUACAAUGCUUCAUCAGAGUCUCUAUUUAUAGGCAUAAGAAGUAUAAAAGAAGUAGAGAUCUAAUUCUAAUAACUAUUAAAAUUUAAAGUAUAUUAAAACUUUAUCUUGAUCAUGAUGAAUAUCCACUUAAUAAGAUAUUUAUAACAUUUAUAAUAUUAUAUCUUUUAAAUUUUCACUUUAUAAUCUAAUUAAAAAAUAAAUAAUUAACCCAAGCGAAGAAGAGUAAAACCAUACUAAUACAUACUAAUAAUUAAGAAUCUCUCUUAUCAGAAAGAAACUCUCUCACUGCUCGGAGCCAGAGGGCAGAGACUAUUUUAACCCAAUGAAUAACCAAAAAACUGAAAUAAUAAAAAGAGAACAACAAUAAGAUAAAACCUUCCACAAUAAUGGAUUUGCCCAUUCGGUGGAGCCUCCAAUUCAUGCGUUCUAAUUUGAAUCAAUUCCAAAAGGGAUAUAUAUUCUAUUUUCAUCCAUAAACUUUGUAAGUUUGACAAGAUUUGAUAAUAUAAUUAAUGUUGUUGGAAUCAGAUUAGAUCGUAUGAACUAAAAACUGAUUGGUAUAACAAUCCGAAUAAAAAGAUUAAACUGACUGAUCAGAUCCUGCUUGAAAUUGGUAAAAAUAAAAAAUUAGAAUAAAAAUCGACAGCUGAACUGAUUUAAUAAAUUUCUUUUUUUUAAUUUUUAUAAAAUUUUAAUUAUUUAUUUAAUUAUUGUUGUUUUGGCGGUUGAAUUGGUCGAAUUAGUUGAAUCUGUUUCUCGUGAUUUGACUUGUUCAACCAUUGGUUUGACUAUUAAAAUACUAAAUGUGACACUUUGAGCUUGUACCAUAUCAUUACUUGAAAGUUUAUAUAAAAAUUUUAAUUUUCAAGUAAUGAUAUGGCACAUUCUUAAAGUGAAACGUCAUCAAACUUUUAUAUUUUUCAAAUUCAGAGAUCCAAAUGAACCUAGUUGUUAAAUUUAAGUGCCAAAAUUGACCAAAAAAAAGUAUAGGUACCAAAAUGAAUCCAGUUACCAAAUUCAGGAAAAAUAGUAUAUUAUUCCAUGACAAAAAUAGAUUGUUUUUAAGGAAUCAAAUAACUUUGGUUGCUUCAUGUUAGAAUCUUUGUAGAUCGACCAAACUCUACUAUUUUGAAUGAUGAUAAUGUUGGAAAAAUACGGUUUAGAAAAUGUGGUUGCUGCAUGAUGGAAGUUUAAAUUUUUUUUAAAAAAAUUGAGCUUUUCUGAUAUUUACAACAACAAACCUUUUAUUCAAAUUAUACCUAUGUUUUCGGAAUAGGCAAAAUAGGUCAUUCUAAACUUUCAACUUCUUGAACUUCUUCAUUAAUCUCGACCUUGGGUUGCUAGAGUGUGGGCUUUAUUCGUGAACCAAUGAACACUUGUGAAAACUUUCUAGGACUAAAAAUCGAUUACCCAAGAAAGUUUCUUUUUUUACUUUUUAUUUUUUAAAAUCAUUUGAAUUUUAAAUAAUUUAUAUAUAAAUUUUUUUAUAAUUUUUCUAGAACUUUUACAAUUUUAUAUUUUUUCUAUUUUUAAAAAUUUAAAUUAUUUACUAAUAUAAUAUAAUAAGACAAAAUAGUAUUAACUCAACAUCAUCGUACACAUAACAUAUUAUGUUAACAAAGAAUCAACGGUUACUAAGAAAUACGUCAUCAUAACCGAUAAAACCGUUUAUUAAAGAGAUUGAAUGAUAAUUUUUCUUAGUUUGAGGAUUCAGUUAAGUAAAAUAAGAAAUUAAAAUUUCAUUUUAGGUACAAACCUUUAAGCCAAUUUAAAUUAUUAAUAUAUAAAUAUAUAACACAAUUAAAUAUAACAUAAAAACAAUAACAAUAGCAGCAUGCAGUAUCAAAAGGUAAUGAAAAAGAAAGAACAAAAAUAAGAAUCCAAUCAAUACCUACGUCGCUUUGGAAGUAAGCAAAGGGAAAAGGAAUCUUUGUUGGAACAAUUAACUAAGUGAUGCGUAUUAAAUUAUUAAUUAUAGGAGACUGAGAUUGGAGUAUGUCUUCAUCUUUUCUUUCUUCUUUCAUACUUCUCAAUUUUCUUCAAAAAGAAAAAGGGAAAAACAACCUUCAAAAACGUAUACUAAAUUGUGUAAAUUUAUAUUUAUAUACAUUAAAUUUAAAUUAACUUUAAAAUGUUCCCUUAUUUAUUCCAUUUUAAAACGUUUUGAUUAUUAAAUAUAGAUUUUUUACCCUUUUUUUAAUAUUAUUAAAUUAUGUGUUCCCAAAAGUUAUUUCUAAGAAUAAGUUCUUUAUGAAGGAUUACCUCAAUAUUCAUAGGUAUCAAGUUCCUUUAAUUUGAAGUUUAUUUGUUCAUAAGGUUUCAGCUCCAUGUUGAAAUCAGGAUAGUUAUUUUGAAAUGAUUACAGAAAUUUGACACUCACAAGUAUUGAGAUUCUUGUACAAUAUUUAACUUUUAAAUUGUCAUAAUUUAAUUUUCUAAUGACUAUGGAUAACAUUUAAUCUAAAACCCAACACCAUCAAAUGUCGGGUUUGUUAUGAAAAUUCAAAACAAAUGUAUAAUGUAAUAUGAAAAAAAUUUAACAAAAAAUUAUAUUAACCUUGUCACCCAUAAGUGUUGAGGUUUUAUUAAAAACCUAACAUAACUCUAAUUUAAAAGAACCAACACAAAUCCUCUUUUACUUCUACUCUAGUCUCUAGUCUAAGUACAUAAGUAUCUUAAAAUUCUAAUUUCCAAGCAGGGGCGUAGCGAGAGGGGCUGGCAUGGGCCCUGGCCCCCCUUAAAAUGAAAAUUUUCAUUUUAGACCCUUGAAAUUUUUUAAAAAUUUUAAAUUAGUAAAGAUAAAAUUCCACUUUGGCCCCCCCUAAAAUUAUAAAAAUUCAAUUUAAUCCUUUACAAAUUAUAAAAAUAUAAACUAUAAAAAAUUAAAAUUUCAUCCGGCCCCCCCUAAAAAAAUUUUCUAACUUCGCCCCUGUUUCCAAGUAUACAGUAAUAAAUGCCCGUUUAUUAAGAUAUGAACAAGGACAUUUUGUCGAGAACACAACAUUGGAAUAUUCUCUUGUGGCUCAAAUUUGCAGUAACAUGGGUUUAGACUUUACUUGACGAUAGAUUCAUUCUUAGUAAAUGCAAGUCAGCUUCUAUCAUGCUAGUCGAAUUGAGAAAGUUACUUUUGUGCCAUCAUUCAUAUAUACACUAAUUGAAUGAUGGAGAUUUGAGACCCAUAUGUUUCAUCUCUCAUGCGACGUAUCAAUAAUAACACUAAAAGAUAUAAGAUUGUUGACUAGUGGACAAACAUCUUAUAAUGGGAAGUUUUUAGUACAAUUUAAGGCAGAUCCUUUAUCCGGCAUUUGGAACAGACAUUGACCUUUAGUUCAAUUUCCAAGGGCUUCAAAUUAAGUUAAAAUGGUUGAUGACCCUCAAGCAUCUCCCACAGAAUCUACACCCGGUGAUAUUGACUGUAAAUAGGCCAAUUUGCCCAGGCCCGAAGAAGAACCCAAAAUACAAAAUAAUAAACAAAAAAUUAACAGUCCAUUAAAAUGUCCCAAUUACAUGACCCAAUAACUAUACCCUAGCCCAAACCCAUUUCUUAGACCCAAAACCUAAUACAUCAAGCCCAAUAAUACAGCCCAAAAACAAAGAUCAAGGCAGAAACCUUAGCUAGGACAUUGCGCCGCAGCCAAGAACCGGACAACGCCUCCAUACCCUCCAGCGACCACGUCCGCGCCUCCGUACGCCCCACGCCAAGCGCCAGCGCAUCCCGUACCUGCAACAAAAAGGACGAACGCACAGCAAGAAAGAAACAAAAACAAAGAAUAUUGUAUUUUUCAUUAUUUAUUUUCUAUCAUUUUAUUUCUCCGGCUAUAAAGCCAAAGGAUCUGUUCAUUGUAAUCUUUUACGCAAUAUACACACGCAUAUUUCACACACGAACAGACACAAUACAAUCACAUGAAAAACGCAAUAGAAAGCAUUCGAAUAGAAAAUUUUAAAAAGGUGAUUUCCUUUUUAGUUUUGUUUUCCGAUUUAGUUCUCAUUAUCUUCUUGCUUUUUUAUUCGGGGUAUAAAAGAAAUAAAGAAAAGAGGCUUACCUCCAUUUCAGUUCCCUCGAAUCCUCUCUUACUUCGUCGUAAUCGAAGUUUGGGGCGAGGAUUCUAAGGCUUUCGAACGGAACCUUAGACUCACGGUUGGACGGGGCCGGAUUAGGCCUUUUGUGUGAUAAUCGAUGACCAAACAUGAAGGUCGGAGGGCAGUCGGAGGGGGUCUCUGGGUUCGGCCGAAUGAGAGGGAGAAAGGGAGUGUUUUUGGUUCGGCUGAGUGCCUUUUCAAAUGGCUAAGGGUUAGAUUAGGGUUUCUUAAUCUUUGUUUAUAUGUGAUGUAUGAAACGACGUCGUUUUAAGCCAAUCUCAAUGGCUACAAAAUGACACCGUUCCAUGAGCUGUGACCCGAUGACCCGGCCAUGCCCGGACAGGAU
rnacentral:lncRNA from 1 species